GGCCCGCUCGGCCUCCCGUUCGUUCCCCUGGCUUCUGGAGUCUUCUAGAUGAUAGAAAAUUGGUGCACACGUUAAUAUCUCUAUGUAAACUCGACGUGUGGGCACUUUCCUCCAUAUUUCCUCAUAACCCCCUACAGAAAUAGACAAACACCAAAACUCGUGGAAUUCUAUUAGAUGAAACGCUAAUUUUGGAUGUUGGUUGCAUAUAGCUCCUUUUCCAAGAUUGGUUGACGGUUAAAUGUGAGCAUUAAGGACCGUCAACAAGCUCCCCCAAGCUUAACCUUUGCUUGUCCCUGAGCAAAGCUAAAAUCAGCAAGAAGACAGGGGUUACUUUUAUGCCUCUUACUACAGAGACCUUAAGUUAUCACUAAGGUCCUAAGUGAUUGAAAAACAGAACGAUCAAGUCAAGCACUAUGUCUCUAGUUCUUCUGUCUUACCUUUGUUCUGGAGUUUUUUUUGUAAGUUUCCAAAAUAAAACUAAGGCAUUUGGCUUCUUCUCGAAAGAUAUAUAAGUAGAGCUUUAAAAGUUUUAGCAUACUUACUUUGCAUUUUGCUAUGUCAAUGCUCGGAGCAAGGGAGAGGAAUGUCAUACUCCUAGAUCAAGACCUUUGACCUUUUUGAAAAGUUUGUCAUCUCUUACUGGCAUAUUGCUUAUUAGAGGGACCAUGGGCUAUCAUUUUUUUCUUUCUUUUUUAGUCUCUCUCUCUUUUUUUUAUGAAGUGGGCACCAAGUACCCCUAAUUCUACUGUCGGACAUGUGUCCAUUUUUUCCACUCAGGUGGGUAUCUUUGUACCCCUAAUUCUACUUCGGACACUUGUCCAUUUUUACCUCUCGUCUCACUCUUUUUUUUGAAUCAAAUUUUUGCAUAGUCCUAUGCCUCUAACGCAAUAAUACUUCAAAAGAGUGAAUCUUUUAUAUUUUUAAAAAGACCUUGAUCUUUGGAGCAUGAUAAUUCUCUCAACCGAAACUACAAGAAUUAACAAUGGCUUGAACAAAGCAAGUGCCCACAGUUUUAAUAUUUAUAUCUUAUAAGACUCUAGGUAUUAUGUCAAACGGGAUCUCAUUCCUUUUUUUCGAAUUUUAGAUUUUCAAAAGAUAAAAUCUCCAGAACUCUAGCAAAACUUGGAACAAGUUAAAUAGUAGCUCAGACCUUCUCAUAUCAUGUUUGUCAAUUACCUAUACUUGGAUCAAACUUUCUUUUUAUUUUAUUAAAAACUUAGGAUUACACAAAACUAUUGUAUAUUACUCAAAAUAAAAACUUUGUUUUGGUUUCAUGGUUAUGCAUUAUUUAUUUAUUUAUUUUUGAAUACUAGUAAAUAAAACCAAGAAAGAAAAGUAAUACUUAUCUAGAUAUAAGUGGGGGUGCCUCCCCCAAACUGGAUGCUUGUGGCCUGCAUGUUCGGUCUCACUCUUCUUAAAGCUCAAAAUCCUGCACAACCCAAAUAGACAACAAAACUCAUGGAGCAUGUUAAGGUUUAGGUAAUUGUCUAGAGCUUAUGAGAGCUUAAUGUGAGAAUUCUACAAACUCAAUUACAUCAAGUUCCUCUGCCAGGUUGUUUUGUGGCUCGAGAUAGAUUUUCAAGCGUUGACCAUUUACCUUAAAAGUGUUACCUAUGUUGUCUUGGAUGGUAAUGGCUCCAUGAGUUGAAGUGUCAAUAACCUUGUAUGGUUCAUCCCACUUACUUCGUAGCUUACCAUGCCCAAAGAGCUUAACUCUUGAAUUGAAUAGUAGAACCUUAUCUCCAGGCUUAAACCCCUUGUUCUCGAUUCUUUUAUCAUGCCAUCAUUUUGUUCUCUCUUUAUAGAUCCUUGAAUUGUGGUAGGCUUUCUCUCUCCAUUCUUCUAGCUCAGAUAGUUGCAUCAGACGAUUCUCGCUAGCGAGGUGGAGAUCCAUGUUCCAUUUCUUGAGUGCCCAAUGAGCCUUAAACUCUACUUCCACAGGCAAAUGACAAGUUUUUCCAUAUACAAGUUGAUAAGGUGACAUGCCUAUGGGUGUUUUGAAUGCAGUUCUAUAUGCCCAAAGUGCAUCAGGAAGUUUGUCCUUCCACCCCUUACCCAUCUCAUCUACGGUCUUUUGUAAAAUAUUUUUGAUUUGUUUGUUAGAUGUUUCGGCUUGACCGCUAGUCUGAGGAUGGUAUGGUGUUGCGACGUUGUGUCGAACUCCAUGAUCGGCUAGGUAUUUCCGGAAGAUUUUGUCGAUGAAGUGGGAACCUCCAUCGCUUAUAACUAUCCGGGGUAUACCAAAGCGAGGAAAGAUUACUUCAUGGAACAUUCUCUUGGCAUGUUUUGAAUCAGCUGAUCGACAAGGUAGGGCUUCUACCCAUUUGGACACGUAGUCCACAACUACUAAGAUAUACUCGCAAUUCCCGGACAUAGGGAAUGGCACCAUGACCCCAUACACCGAAAACUUCUACUUGAAGAUUAUUUGUGAGAGGCAUUUCAUUUCGUGAGUUGAUAUUCCCAUGUUUUUGAGAUCGGUGACAUCUCCUGACAAAGUCCUUUGUAUCUUCAUACAUCGUUGGCCAGAAAAACCAACUUUACCAAAUUUUAGCAUGUGUCCAGAAUUCUCCAUAGUGUCCUCCAUAUGGCGAGGCAUGGCAUCUUUCCAUAAUUUGAGUAGCCUCAGCCAUAGGAACACACCUUCUCAAGAGUCCAUCAGCGCAGACUCGAAAAAGAUAUGGCUCAUCCCAAAGGUGGAAACGACUAUCGUGAAGCAACUUCCUUUUGUUUGUACCAGGUGGGACAUAGCCUUUUUCUAUAAAGUUUACGAUGUCAGCGUACCAUGGAUCUGCAUGUGUUACCUUAAGCAGGGUGUCAUCCCUUAGGUAGUCAUUUAUGGGAAGCUCAUCAUGUGUUUCCUUAUAUUGAAGCCUAGACAAGUGGUCAGCUACGAAAUUCUCUACUCCCUUCCUAUCACGGAUUUCUAUGUCAAAGUCUUGGAGUAGAAGAAUCCAUCGAAUUAGACAAGGCUUAGCAUCUUUCUUAGUGAGGAGGUACUUGAGAGCAGCACGGUCUGAAUAGAUUAUUAUCUUUGCCCCCACUAAGUAAGACCAAAACUUGUCUAUAGCAAAUACAACAGCCAAAAGCUCUUUUUCAGUUGUAGUGUAAUUGAGCUGUUGUCCAGACAAGGUUUUGCUAGCGUAGGAUAUGACAUAAUGCUUUUUAUCCUUGGUUUGUCCUAAAACGGCACCAACCGCAAAAUCGCUAGCAUCACACAUGAUCUCCAAAGGAAGAUUCCAAUCAGGUGGCUGGAUAAUCGGGGCUGAGAUGAGUGCUUUCUUAAGAGUUUGAAAAGAUUCAUGACACUCAUUACUAAAGAUAAAAGGUGCAUCCUUAGCUAGGAGACUAGUUAGGGGUCUAGCAAUUUGAGAGACUUGAUAAAGCGUCUAUAGAACCCUGCAUGCCCCCAAAAAGCUACGGAUUCCUUUCACAUUCGUGGGAGGUGGAAGUUUUUCAAUAACUUCAAUCUUUGCUUUGUCCACCUCUAUACCAUGUUCGGACACUUUAUGUCCUAGCACUAUUCCUUCCUGAACCAUAAAAUGGCAUUUCUCCCAGUUUAGGAUUAAGUGCUUUUCUUCACAUCGCUGCAAGUCUCUAUCUAAAUUCUCCAAACAAUGAUCGAAGGUUUUGCCAUAGACGGAAAAAUCAUCCAUGAAAACCUCCAUGAUCUUCUCAAUCAUGUCCAAGAAAAUAGACAUCAUGCACCGUUGGAAAGAAGCUGGAGCAUUGCACAAUCCGAACGACAUUCGUCGGUAUGCAUAAGUUCCAUACAGGCAUGUAAAGGUAGUCUUUUCUUGGUCAUCUGGGUGGAUUGAGAUUUGGUGAUAUCUAGAAUAACCAUCAAGGAAACAGAAGAAAGAGUGGUUUGCAAGCCGUUCCAACAUUUGAUCAAUGAAGGGUAACGGAAAGUGAUCAUUCUUUGUAGCCUUGUUGAGUUUUCGAUAGUCAAUACACAUACGCCACCCAGUGACAAUUCGUUAAGGGAUGAGUUCAUUCUUCUCAUUCCUAAUGACUGCCAUUCCUCCUUUCUUUGGCACUACUUGGACAGGGCUAACCCACUCACUAUGUGGCACAGGAUAAAUAAUCCUAGCAUGAUAGAGUUUGAGGACCUCUUUCUUAACAACCUCUCGCAUAGCAUUGUUAAGUCUUCGUUGUGGUUCCCUUGAAGGUGUAAAAUUGGGAACAAUAGGGAUACGAUGAGUGCAGAGAAUGGGACUAAUGCCCGUGAGAUCUUCGAGAGCUUAGCCAAAUGCUAAUCUAUGCCGUUCAAGAACAGUGACAAGUUGUUGUGUUUCAUAAUCGGAAAGCUUGUCACUGAUAAUUACUGGAGUUUUUGGGUUGUUGUGCAAAAAAACAUAUUGAAGGCCAGAAGGAAGAGGUUUUAACUCUAUCGAAGGAGGUGAAGGUUGUUCAUUUUUGUCUAGCUCAAUGGGUUCUACCAACUCUUCUUCUUCUUGAACAAAGUGUUCAUGAUUAAAGAAUGGUUGGGCCAUCUCCUUUUGAGUCAGCAUUAAGAUCUCCUCAAUAGGAUCUGAUUCAAGUUUGGGUUCCACUAUCGUGUUAAUUGAUAUAGCAAGAGGAACAACAAUAGUGGAAUUCCCAACCUUCAAGUCUAAAUGACCUCGUUGUGGUUGUUCUUGUAGAAGUUUCAUGAUUGGUCUGCCAAUCAAGAGAGGAAUCUCCGGUAUGUCAAAAAUGUGAAAAUCUAGACAUAUUCCAGAGUCCUUGAUUCUAAUAGGUACUGCCCUUAAUACCCCAUGGCUUUCUAGAAUUAAUCCAGAUGGACUUUGUAAAAGUUUUUGAGAUGGGUGUUGACGGUCCUUAAUGCUCACAUUUAACUGUCAACUAAUCAUGGAAAAGGAUCUAAAUGGAACCAACAAGCUUUCUGGCGCCGUUGCCGGGGAACGGUAGCUGUGCUAGUUUCGAACCAAGUCGUCCGUGUAUCCCUUUUCUUUUCCUUUUUUACCACACUCACCUUAUCACUUUCACCAUACCACAUGGAUUUCACUCUAAGCAUUAAUGAGCAUGGAAUUUAUUUCAUAGCCACUUCACUUACUCCAUGCUCAUAUGCAACAUCUUCACAAUCCAUUGGUCUCUCCAACAUCACCACAUUCGAGAUCUCCAACCCCCUCUUCCUUUCUAUUCAUAAAAACUUUAAAAGGGUGGUUGUCGAUGCAUAUGUCUAUAAUAAAUUUUGCAGAUCUCGUUGAGUUGAUCUUGAUAUAGGUCAGCGUUGGAGGGGAAACUGUUGAUAUUUGGUAACGCAAUAAGGAAAUGAUCGGCAAGCGCACGGAUAUCGGUGAGCAUUUCACCCGGGAGGUUAUCCAGAGUUAUCGUAUUUAUAUUUUUACUACUAGGAGAAAGGGUGCAUCUGACUAACCAAAUCUAUUGCUAUUACCCCUUUAGGCUACAAAGAAUGUUUCUCGAUGUGAGUGAUGUAUAGAGAAGACUGCAAUCGUAGUCUCGUUCUAACCUUGGUAAGGAUGAUCUACUGUUCUAUUGGGGAGGCUCACGGAAUCUAGACAACACAAAGGAUGUUCGACCCGCACCUAUAAACCUACCCGCCCUGCUAACGAGAUACGGUCUGCAAAGGUAACUCGGAAAUGUCACGUUCCUCGCUACUACCACGGUCCAGCUAGUCAGGGGAUAUCUAUGAGUACCCUAGCCUAAACACCACGUUUACGCUAGCAAGUGAUUACUCUAAUACUCAACCGGAAGAGGAUUAAAGUAAACUCAUAAACCAAAGAACAAUAAAACAAGAACUUACUAGUAAUUAGAAGUCGAAUUACUGAAGAAUCUUAGAAGCAAGCCUCGGGUUAGGAGACUUGAUCCCGCAAGUACAACUCGGAGUAGACACUGACAGGCCGGCCUUCCUCCGAUCUACACCUCCACUCUAUCUCUCUCAAUCUAGUAGAAACUAGAAGAUCUAUUUCUACUUACAUUGGUUGCUAAGCCUAAAAAGAAAUAUUAUUUAGAGAAGAGGUUUUCCUUCGAGGGCACCCCUCAAUCUCUAUGAUAAUUUCUUGUCUCCUCCAGGGGCCAGGGGGGUCUCCUUAUAUAGUCCUCAUCCUCUAUGCGUUUUUGGGUCGGUAGGCGAGGUGGUACUACAUUAUCUUUGAUCUAUUAGGUCGGUGGAACGUCGUGUGCGAAGAGAGUCCCGAACGGAGUCCAAAGGAGGGCGGGCGCCUAGGUCCUCAGGGCGGGCGCCCUGGGCCUGGCCCCUUUCGGCCUCCGCUUCCUUCCCGUGGCUUCUGGAGUCUUCUAGAUGGUAGAAAAUUGCGCGGUGCGUUGAUAUCUUUAUGUAAUCCUGACAUGUGGGCCUUUCUUACUUAUUUCCUGAUAACCCCCUGCAGAAAUAGACAAACACCAAAACUCGUGGAACUCUGUCAGAUAAAACCCUAAUUCUAGGUGUUGAUUUCAUUUGGAUCCAUUUCUUUGUUUAUUUGAUAAUUAAAUUUGGUACUUAAGGACCGUCAACAACUCCCCCAAGCUUACCUCUUGCUCGUCCCUGAGCAAGGAUGAACUCAAGAGUUUCUGCAGUGGUUUCAUGCCUUAAAGGUACACACGCAUUCAAGCAAGAUCUCAUCUCUGAGUUAGAAUAAACUGUUAAGACUUAAAACUUACUCAUUUUACCUUUCACCAUGGGGCUUGUAACCGUCACUUGUGUCUUGAGCAGUUAAAAGAUAGAACGGUCAAGUCAAGAGCCAUGUCUCUUAUUCUUGAUCAGCUAUAGCUUUAGAGUUUUUGUAGAUUUUCAAAUAAAACUCAGAGAUUCCUUAUAUGACUCUCUCAAAUCUCUCUUUUUGUGGUAUUUCUGGAUCCUUACCAAGGCAGUAAUUGUAUAUGCCUUCUCUCAAAGUAUGUGGUAUUUUUGGUAUGAGGCAUAGUGAUAUUAUCUUCUCUCUCACCCUACUCUAAUAAGGUUCUGAUAUCUGGAGCUCAUAGGUGAGAGACAGCUAAUACAUACUUACAAGACAUUUAUUGCAUAGUCAAACCAUGGAUCCAGAGAAACAAGUCAAUAAGUCAAAUCAAGAUGUGCAUGUGUGCCGAAUGAAUGAUGUAUGGUGAUGAUGGUGAUAAUAAUGGUGAAAGUCUAAUUAUACUUUUGCUCUUUUUAAGGGGAUACAUACCUUUCUUGCACUUUGAAGCUUUUUGAGGGGAAUGAGAUGCUCUAUAUUUUCUCUUUUUUUUCUUUUCUCUCAGGUGGGUAUCUUGUACCCCUAAUUCUACUGUCGGACACUUGUCCAUUUUUACCUCUCGUCUCACUUUUUCUUUUCUUUCGAGGUUCCGGGCACUUGCCCCUUUUUAUUUCCUCGUAUUAUUUUUUUUUCUUCCUCUUUUUUUUAGAGCACUCAUCUCCUUAAAUAAUAUAGCAAGUGGUAGUAACCAACAUAACUCGAGCAUUUAUUUCACAGGGAAUAACAGGGAUAGGAUAAUGUUUUUGGCUAUUCUCUCCCAGAUUAGGAGUAGAAUAAUUUUGGGUAAUCUGGAGAUGGAAAUGAGUGGAUAUAUGUGGAUGGUACUUCCGGAGUAGAAGUAGCAUGUAUGAGUGAACGUGCAAGUGAAUCUUGAUUUUAACCACAUGACAAGCUCCUAAGGGUCUACAUAGCUUGACCACACUCAAUGCUCAUAAGCAGUAAAAAAUAUGUGGCUCAAAGUCUAGCAAGCAUGUAUAUAUGGCUGUGGUAGGAAUUUAAACUCUCAUCAUACAGGAACUCAUCAUGUGUUAUUUUAAAGAUUUUUUCAAAGAUAAAAUUCUCUAGAAUUCUAGCAUCUCUAGGAACAGAUAAACAGCAGCUCAACCUUCCCAUAUCAUAUCCGUUAACAACUUAGACUUUUGAUCAGGUACUCCUCCCACAAGUUUAGUUUAGAGCAAAUCUUACUUCAUAACAGUCAUGCCUAAACUUGAGAGAGAUUUCAGUUUUAAGAACUAGUCAUGGCAGAGCAACUAUUCAUCAUUUCCAUGUGAGAGCUUAUCAUGAGGGUUCAUAGCAAACUUUAUUUAUUUAUUUAUUUAGCAAACUAAGAAAAUAUAUAUAUAUAAAAGCACAAAAUCUUUAUUUGGGUUUUCAUGAUUAUGCAUCUUUUAUUAUUUGAGUAAAGUAUAAACGCAAGUAGAAACACUUAGCUGGAUAAAUGGGGGUGCUCUCCCCCAAGCUGGAUUUUGACGUAAUUUCUUCUGAUGUAGCUAGCAGGUGGCAGAGGUGUAUUUGAAAGUCAGCAGCAUUUUGACAGCGAUUAGAAUGUCCUCCGUCUGCUAGUCUUCUUGAUUCCUAAAUUCUGUAGAGCUCAAAUAGACAAUAAAGCUUUGUGGAACUGGGUAAGUGUUAGCACAAAUAUCUAGCCUUUAUCAUGUUGAGCCUCCUCAAUAAAUAUUACUUAUUUAGCAGGAUCAUGCACUUAUUAUUUUUAUAUUUUUAUUGUAAGAUGAAAACAUAUUUAUUUUAUGCCACCAGUGAAUGUACCUAUGGGUUCUAUGCCAUGAGCAUACUUACAUGGGGCUUACUAUUUUUUUAACAUUUUUAUUUUCUUUUCAAGAUAGCAUGAACCUGAUUAACUAAGCAAACUAUAAUUGAAUAAUUGAAAGGAAAAGGAUAACUACCAAGUUUACCUCUUGGCAAGGCGUUCGGUGUUUUUAAGUCCUCCGAACGGGACUCUUCGUUUUCUCAGUCGUCCUGGGAUUCGUUAGGUGGCGUAGUCGGUUAUUCCGGCGGCGCCUCCUCUUCGUGUAUAACUAUCUUCUCCCUCCACACCUGACUCGGUGCUACGGUCUCCUCAGGGCAGUUCUGUUUAAGCCGUAUGUCUUCAGACCUUAUCACUUCUCCUUCGUAGUCUGCCCAUCCGUCCUUGAUGAUUUGCCUCCUCUGGUUGCGGUUGUGUCGUCUUCUUCUUGUCCUGACUUGUUUAGAGUCUUCAACUAUAUAGUUAAGGUCAGUAAAAUAGCGGCGUACCUUCUCAGAGGGGAAGUGCAUGUGGACUUCUCUGGUUCCAAUAUAGAUGAUGGCUUUGAUAGUGUUGAGGAACGGUCUUCCAAGGAUGAUGGGUGGAUCGUACUCGUCUUCUCCCAUGUCAAUGAUCUGAAAAUCAUCUGGAGCUGAAUAUAUAUUGGUUGUAGGGGCAUGGUUCCAUGCUGGAGCUGAUAAGUGACUGCGGCCAUUAUGUUGUCGUUAGAUCCGGUGUCGUAGAGUGUCUUCUGAAAAGAGUAUCCAUUGAUUGUGCACUCAAUGAUUGGAAUACCAGGGUCGUCCUUCUUGAUCUUGAGUCGACGAUCUUGACCUCCUCCGACAAGGAUCCAAUGUUUUAAGUCCUCUGGACAAGACUUCUCACCGUCUUCAUCCUUUAGGUGCAUCAUUUGAUUAGGUGUGGACCUUGACGUCUGCACCUCUUGAUACAGUGUCACCCAUGUUCUUCGAUUGCCCAGCAGUUCGAAGUGCGGUGUUGGCAAUAUCCUGCUCAGUGUGUUUGUGCUCAUAGAUCCAGGUCCUUCACUUGGUGGAGCCUAGGAGUUGUAAAACUCCUCGAUGUUUUGCUUGAAGUGUACCUGUUCAUAGAGACAAGGCAGAGAUCAAGUGCAUGGGCCCUGUUGGUGGAAAACACCAACAGAACUAAAAGUGUAUUUGUUCUUCUCUAACCUUAAGCAUAGUGAGCAAGACAAAGUUGAUGGAUCAUGAGUGUAGCAUUUAAAACAUUUGUUAGAUCAGAUGGCUCAACCUAAUGGAAAGAUAAUCUAUCUAUAUUUAUGUUUUGUUUAUAUCUUCCAAAGAUUGAAUGUUGAAUUAAUUGAGUUGGUUAAUCUGGAGUUAUAAAUCAUACAUAUUUGUCUCUUUAUUUAUGUGAAUGCUAGAACCAAGGAGAAGCUUAUAAAAGCGAUAGUUAAGUACCUUAAGGUGUUACUUUACUUAAAGAGUGAUGGUAUAGUAUCUCCUUGUGGAAGCUUUCCUUUCUUAGCGGUUGUGCAUCGUGUUGGUGGCACCCUCCAUAGAUCAUCUCUUUUGAGCUACGUCUUUCUUGUGCAAAUUGUUAAACUUCAUGUGUCACUUUCUUCAUCUCCAAUGUGAGUUUAUCUCAGGACUUCCCAGGUUGAUAUUGAAAGUUUUCCUGUAGGGGUUAGUCCGACAAAAUAUACCAAUGUCUACUCAAGCAUACUACCGGCUCAAAAAUCAACCUAGACACCAUGUCUAAUUUGAUUUAGAAGGGCAUUUUAACCUAAGCACCAUGCUUAAUUUAAAAUCCCUUGGAAGUAAGAUCAUCAUUCCUAAACUAAGCACCAUGCUUAAUUAAGAGAUAAAUGAAACUAUUCCAAACCUAGAAAUAUACUAAAGCAAAUCAAGGUAGCAUGAGAGCAUUUAUAGAGAUCUACUUAAGUGGAGAUGAAGUAGUGUAAUUAGUAUUUAACAAAUUGAGCAUGUCUCAAAGGUAAGGACAACCAACGUAGCAACAUGGCAAAAGAUGUUUUUAUGUAAAGUACUCCCCCAAGCUUGAAUUUUGCAAAAUUCAAGUUUGGAUGAAUUUAAUUCAAUGUUGUGUGAUGGUUGGUUGGACAUACCUUGUACUUGUCAUUCAUCCCAUCUUCUUGCUCCAAUCCUGGAAAGGUUAGUGGCAAGAAUACCCGAAGGAAUAUUUCUACAAUUAUCUUUAUAUGCUCAAGACACAAGGCAAUGUUGCAAAAAAUUAGAAGUUCAUGUCACAAUCUGAUAGGUGCUUGUUUUAGGACACUAAGCUUGUCCUUAGGAAACCAUCAAGCACUGUUCAGAUUGUAACACUGACAUAAAUUGAUAGUUUCCAAAGGACAAGCUUUGUGUCCUAAUACAAGCACUGAUCAGAUUGUCACAUNNNNNNNNNNNNNNNNNNNNNNNNNNNNNNNNNNNNNNNNNNNNNNNNNNNNNNNNNNNNNNNNNNNNNNNNNNNNNNNNNNNNNNNNNNNNNNNNNNNNNNNNNNNNNNNNNNNNNNNNNNNNNNNNNNNNNNNNNNNNNNNNNNNNNNNNNNNNNNNNNNNNNNNNNNNNNNNNNNNNNNNNNNNNNNNNNNNNNNNNNNNNNNNNNNNNNNNNNNNNNNNNNNNNNNNNNNNNNNNNNNNNNNNNNNNNNNNNNNNNNNNNNNNNNNNNNNGCAAAUUCAGAUUGGGGAGUACUUUACAUAAAAAUAUCAUUUGCCAUGUUGCUAUGUUGGUUGUCCCUACCUUUGAGACAAGCUCAAUUUGUUAAAUACUAAUCACACUACUUCAUCUCCACUUGAGUAGAUCUCUAUAAAUGCUCUCAUGCUACCUUUAUUUGCUUUAGUAUAUGUCUAGGUUUGGAGUAGUUUCAUUUAUCUCUUAAUUAAGCAUGGUGCUUAGUUAGGAAUGUUGAUCUUACUUCCAAGGGAGUUUAAAUUAAGCAUGAUGCUUAGGUUAAAAUGCCCUCCUGAAUCAAAUUAGACAUGGUGUCUAGGUUGAUUUUUAAGCCGAUAGUAUGCUCUAGUAGAUAUUGGAUAUUUUGUUGGACUAACCCCUAUAGGAAAACUUUCAAUAUCGACUUGGGAAGUCCUGAGAUAAACUCACAUUGGAGACAAAGAGAGAGACACAUGAAAGUUAACAAUUUACACAAGGAAGGCAUAGCUCACAAGAGAUGAUCCAUGGAGGGUGCCACAAACACGAUGCACAACUGCUAAGAAAGGAAGGCUUCCACAAGGUGAUACUGUACCAUCACUCUUCAAGUAAGGUAACAUCUUAAGGUACUUGACUAUCACUUCUAUAAAGCUUCUCCUUGGUUCUGGCGUUCACAUGAAUAUAAGAGACAAACAUGUAUGAUUUACAACUCUAGAUUAACCAACCCAAUCGAUUCAAUAUGUUUAGUCCUUCCACCUUUGUGAUCCCACACUCCUAAUCAUAUGAGCUAAAAUGUUUCACACUCAAUCUUUGGAAGAUAUAUAUAAAAGAAACAACAUAAAAAUAGAAAGAUUAUCUUUCCAUUAGGUUGAGCGAUUUGAUCUGACAAAUGUUUUAAAUGUUAUACUCAUGAUCUUAUUAUCCAUCAACUUGGUCUUGCUCACUAUGCCUAAGGUUAGAGAAGAAUAAAUACACUUUUGGUUCUGUUGGUGUUUUCCACCAACAGGGCCUAUGCACUUGAUCUCUGCCUUGUCUGUAUGAGCAGGUACACUUCAAGCAAACUAUGAAGGAGUUUUACAACUCCCAGACUCCACCAAGUGAAGAACCUAGAUCAACGAGUACACACACUGGAGAGACUGGACACUCAGGCAAUCACUGCCCUGAGAUGCUUGAGGACGUAACUACUAGAGUAACCCCGUUGUGGAAGUAAUUACUGACCUUUUGCCGGUCAAGAGAGACGAUCCAGGACGCCCCGUCAUCCCGAUCUCCAUCGGCAUGGUGGACUUCCCAGAAGUACUCUGUUACUUUGGCUCCAGCGUCAACAUUAUACCCAGGGUACUCUAUGAAAAAUUCUUUACACAUCCUUUAUUAGAGACAGCCAUGUGUUUGCAUCUUGCAGAACGUACGCUAAGUUUCCCAAAGGGAAUAUUGAAGAACCUCUGCGUCCGAGUUGGUACCUUGUACGCCCCAGCAGACUUCAUGGUGAUAGAGACUGGUACUGAUGAGAGGGCACCCAUCAUCCUAGGGAGGCCAUUCAUGAACACCUUGGGAGCUGUCAUCUACGCUAGUGCUGCCAAGAUCAGUUUCUACAUCAAGGGAAUGAAGGAGACAUUUUCCUUGAAGAACAAGAUUACACAAAUCUCAGAGCAAUCCCGACAUGAACCAAGGAAGAGGACCAACAGGAGGAACAGAAACAAGCAAAUGUAGACCGAGUCAGCUAAGAUGGUCACUGCAGUUUAAGGAUGUCAAGAUCAUUGACUUAAGUCACCGUUCCUGACCAAAAAGGACGACCUAGUCACCUAUCAGCUCCUAUUCGGAACCAUGCCCCUAAAACCGACAUACAUUCAGCUCCAGAUGGCAGAUCAGACAUUCCGAAAGGUUGAAGAUUUUUAGGUUAUUGACAUAGGAGAAGACGAGUACGAUCCAUCCAUCAUCCUUGAGAGGCCGCUCCUCAGCACCGUUAAAGCAAUCAUCUACAUUGGAACCUGAGAAGUUCACAUGCACUUCACCUCUGAGGAGGUACGCCGCUAUUUUACUGACCCUAACUAUAUCGUUGAAGACUCUAAGCAGGCCAGGACAAGAAGAAGACGACGCAACCACAACCAGAGAAGGCAAAUCAUCAAGGACGGAUGGGCAGACUACGAAGGAGAAGUAGUAAGGUCUGAAGACAUACAACUUGAACAGAACUGUCCUGACGAGACCGUAGCACCGAGUCAGGUGUGUAGAGAGAAGAUAGUUAUACAUGAAGAGCAAGCGCUGCCGGAACCACCGACUACGCCAUCCAGCGAAUCCUAGGACGAUUGAGAAAAUGGAGAGUCCCGUUCGGAGGACUUAAAAACACCGAACGCCUUGCCAAGAGGUAAACUUGGUAGUUAUCCUUUUCUUUUCAAUUAUCUUAAAAUAGUUUGCUUAGUUAAUCUGGUUCAUAUCAUCUUGAAAAUAAAAUAAAAAUGUUAAAAAAUAGUAAGCCCCAUGUGAGUAUGCUCAUGGCAUAAAACCCAUAAGUAUAUUCACUGUGGUGGCAUAAAAAUAAAAUAAAUAUAUUUAUGUUCUAUAAAAAUGAAAAUAUAAAAAUAAAUUUAUGAUCCUACCAAAGAGUGUAAUAUUUAUUGAGGAGGCUCAACAUGAUAAAGGCUAGAUAUUUAUGCUAACACUUAACCAGUUCCACAAAGCUUUGUUGUCUAUUUGAGCUCCACAGAAUUCAAGGAUCAAAGAAGACUAGCAGACAGAGGACAUCCUAAUCACUGUCAGGGUGCUGCCGACAUGCAAAUACACCUCCGCCACCUGCUACAUCAGAAGAAAUUACGUCAAAAUCCAGCUUGGGGGAGAGCACCCCCAAUUAUCCAGCUAAGUGUUUCUACUCACGUUUAUAUUUUACUCAAAUAAUAAAAAUAUGCAUAAUCAUAAAAACCCAAAUAAAGAUUUUGUGCUUAUAUAUAUAUAUCUUUGCUUAGUUUGCUAAAUAAAUAAUAAAUAAAAUUUGCUAUGAACCCUCGUGAUAAGCUCUCACAUGGAAAUGAUGAAUAGUUGCUCUGCCAUGUACCUAGUUUUCAAGUUUAAGCUUUCUCUCAAGUUUAGGCAUAACUGUUAUAAUUUAAACCUGCUCUAAACCUAAACUUCUGGGGAGAGUACUUGAUCUAAAGUCUAAGUCGUUAACAGAUACGAUAUGGGAAGGUUGAGCUGUUGUUUAUCUGUUCCUAGAGAUGCUAGAAUUCUGGAGAAUUUUAUCUUUGAAAAUCUUUAAAAUAACACAUGAUGAGUUCCUGUAUGAUGAGAGUUUAAAUUCCUACCACAGCCAUAUAUACAUGCUUGUUAGACUAUGAACCAUACAUUUACUUUUUACUGCUUAUGAGCAUUGAGUGUGGUCAAGCUGUGUAGACCCUUAGGAGCUUGUCAUGUGGUUAAAUCAAGAUUCACUUGCACGUUCACUCACACAUGCUGCUUCUACUCCAGAACUACGCAUCCACAUAUAUCCACCCAUUUCCAUCUCCAGAAUCACCUAAAAAUAUUCUACUCCUAAUCCGGGAGAGAAUAGCCAAAAACAUUUCUGUUUUCCCCUGUGAAAUAAAUGCUCAAGUUAUCUUGGUUAGUACCACUUGCUAUAUUAUUUCAGGAGAUGAGUGCUCUAAAAAUAAGAAAGAAAUAAAGAAAGAAUAUGAGGAAAUAAAAAGGGGCAAGUGCCCGAAACCUCGAAAGAAAAAAAAAGUGAGACGAGAGGUAAAAAUGGACAAGUGUCCGACAAUAGAAUUAGGGGUACAAGAUACCCACAUGAGAGAAAAGAAAAAGAAAAUAUAGAUCAUCUCAUUCUUCUCAAAAAAGUUUCAAAAGAGCAAGAAAGGUAUGUAUCCCCUCAAAAGAGCACAAGUAGAAUUAGACAUUCACCAUUGUUAUCACCAUCAUCACCAUACAUCAUUCAUUCGCCACACAUGCACAUCUUGAUUUGACUUAUUGACUUGUUCUUCUGGAUCCAUGGUUUGACUAUGCAAUAAAUGUCUUGUAAGUAUGUAUUAGCUAUCUCCCAUCUAUGAGCUCCAGAUAUCAAAAGCCUUAUUAGAGUAGGGUGAGAGAGAAGGCAAUGUCACUAUGCCUCAUACCAAAAAUACCACAUACUUUGAGAGAAGGCAUACACCUUUACUGCCUUGGUAAGGAUCCAGAAAUACCACAAAAGAGAGACUAGAGAGAGUCAUACAAGGAAUUUCUUAGUUUUAUUUGAAAAUCUGCAAAAACUCCAGAGUUAUAGUUAAUCAAAGAACAAGAGACAUGGCGCUUGACUAGACCAUUCUAUCUUUUAACUGCUCAAGACACAAGUGACGGUUGCAAGCCCCAUGGUGGAAGGUAAUAUGAGUAAGUUUAAAUCUUAACAGUUACCCUAACCCAGAGAUGAGAUUUUGUUUGAACGCAUGUAUAUCUUUAAGGCAUGAAACCACUACAGAAACUCUUGAGUUCAUCUUUGCUCAGGGACGAGCAAAGGUUAAGCUUGGGAGAGCUUGUUGACGGUCCUUAAUGCUCACAUUUAACUGUCAACUAAUCAUGGAAAAGGAUCUAAAUGAGCAUUAAGGACCGUCAACAAUGGGGUUAUGGACUCGUUGGGAUAAAGAGUGUCAGCUAACUCCUUGGAAAUAACAUUUAUCCCAACAUAUGGAUUGUAGUGGACCUUCCUAGCGGACCCUCUAAUUUGGCACAGAAGAAUGGUUGAAGGAGUGAUGAUUUGAGCUACCUUAGGGGACAGCUCUGCUUCUGUUAGUCAUUCAUAACUCAAAAUAGCCGAAAGGCUUUUGACGUGUUCUAUGUCAAUAGAUUCUACUCUUAGAACGGAUUGAGUGGUCCCUGCUAGAGGUCGUGUUUGGAUAGGAAAAUUCGAGGUGUUUCCAUAAUCUUCAAAAAAUCUUCCUCGAAUUCAAAGGGAUGCUCUAAAGGUGGUGGUUCAUCAUCCCUUAGUUGGUUUUGCAUUCCCUUAUCAGGAGUUUUCUCUACAACAAAAUUAAUAGAUGGGUCAGGUGGGAUUUCUAACUUGGUUGCAAGUUCCUCUUCUUUUGGUUUAGGAUUAGGCUCGACUUCUUUUUCUUCUUCAGGAAACUCAUCAUAAAUGCCUGUGUAAGGGGUAUUUUCAAGGAUUCUCUCUAGGAUAGCUCUCCCCUCAUCUAUGAGUUUGUGUGCGAAUGAGCCUCCUGAAGCAAUGUCGAGGUGAAGAGCAGCUUCCUUGUUUAGACCACGAUAAAAGUGGUAGUACAGUACAUGGUCAGGCAGGUGAAGGUUUGGACCAGAAUUGGUAAGGCUUGUGAAGCUAGCCCAAGCUGCUCCUAAAGUUUCCUUCUCUCUUUGUUUGAAUGUAAGAAUUUUGAUUCUAAGGUCAGCGAUUCGAAAAAGUGGGAAGAAAGCGAGACAAAAGUUGUCCCGAAGUUCAUCCCAAUUUCCAUUAACGCCUCCUACAGGAUGAGCAUACCACUUUUUUGCUCUUCCCAAAAGGGAGAACGGAAAUAAUUUCCAUUUAAGGGUUUCUUGUGUCAUGCCGGAAAUAGAUCGGUAAGAGCACAACUGCUUGAAUUCUCUAAGGUGGGUGUAUGGAUCUUCAUCUACUUGCCCAGAGAAGGGUUGCUCCUGAAUCAUGGCUAUUAGAUCAGGGCCGAGGUCGUAGCCAUCUGUAAGAAUUGGAUGUGAUGAUGGUGGUGGCUCUAAUAACUCGCCCUUUGGAGCAUAGAAUUUAUAGAUAGGAGUGAAAUCCAUGUGGUAUGGUGAAAAUGGUAAGGUGAGUGUGGUAAAAAAAGGAAAAGAAAAAGGAUACACGGAUGACUUGGUUCGAAACUAGCACAGCUACAGUUCCCCGGCAACAGCGCCAGAAAGCUUAUUGGGUAUUUUAAACGCAAACAGAAAAAUCUGCAAGCGCACGGAUACCGAUGUAGCUUUCACCUGGGAGUAUUCUAGAGUAUCGAUUUUCCACAGGGAACGUGAGUGUACUAAUUAAGAUUCAAGAUCGCCCAAGGAUAACUAUAUAAUUAUUUUUGGUGGGAAGAGAGGAAGUUUCCUGAGAGUUCUCUAGUUGAUCUAAGAAUCAAGAAUUACUUCAAAGAUUAUUUAUUUUGGGACAUCAGAACACUAACCAUAGAAAGAGAUGAGAAGGGGGCUAGGAAGCUCUGACUACGGUCCUACAAAUACCGAUCCGAACGAGGUGGAAUACGUCGACCGUUAGGGCUGUCACUACCCUAGGGCUACCACAACAAUCCGUAGGAUUGGGUGCAAUUCCAGGUAAUUGCAAGACUAAACACCACGUCUAAUCUAUUAAUUACUACUCUAGCAUUAUAAAGACUAGAGCACUUGAUGCAAGCGGGAAUCUAAUAAAUAACUUGAAUGUAAAUACAAGUAAUUAAAGAACUUAGGAAUUAUGAAUUGAAGAACUUGGAGAACGAUGAAGAACGAACCAGUUGCUGCAAAAGUACAAUGUUGAGGAAGAUCCAACAGAUCCGGCUCCUCCUCCGCUCUCCUCUUCUCUCUUCCUAUUUUCUAGAUUACAACUAGAACUAACUAGAACUAGAACUACAUGAACUAGAACUAGAUCUAGAUGAACUAGAGGGAUCUUCUCUACUUGGAUGAAUAAUUGAAAUCCUAGCUUUGAUUCUGUAGGAGAGGUAUGUUCUCCAGGGGCCAGGGGGCCUGCUUAUAUAGCCCUUUCAAAUGAACGUGGGCCGUCGGAUCAAACCGACUUUAGUCGCACGGAUUUCCUUGAUCCUCAAAGGCGGUGGAGCACGAUCCGCGAGACCUGCCCUGAUUGGUCACCAGGGCAGGGCGGGCGCCCUGCCCCCGGGCCCGCUCGGCCUCCCGUUCGUUCCCGUGGCUUCUGGAGUCUUCUAGAUGAUAGAAAAUUGGCGCACACGUUAAUAUCUCUAUGUAAAUCCGACGUGUGGGCCUUUCCUCCAUAUUUCCUGAUAACCCCCUGCAGAAAUAGACAAACACCAAAACUCGUGGAAUUCUGUCAGUUGAAACCCUAAUUUUGGAUGUUGGUUGCAUAUAGGUCCUUUUCCAUGAUUAGUUGACGGUUAAAUGUGAGCAUUAAGGACCGUCAACAACUGCGUCGUCAUCUGUGCCAUCGCUGGUGGACUGAGAAGGAGCUGUCUGACUCUCUGAAGGUGCACGAGCUGGUGAAGCAGUCUUGGUUGGAUCAGUGUGCUCUGUAGCUGUCUGUGUCGCUACCUAAGUCUCAAGUCCUGUGGAAGAAGCUGGCACAGACACAGUGGCUAUAGCUAAGGUCUUUGGAACUAUAGAGGAAGAAGCAAGCUGCUCAGAUAAAGCCACAGACGAUGACAUACGCUCUGUAGUGGUGACUAGCUAGGUAAAAGCUGCAGGAGCCUGCUAUGGAGAAGGAGUAGGCAGGCCAGUUAGAGCACUAUACAAAAACAACAAGUCCUGCCCCAUUGAGGAGUCCAAAACCAACUGAGAAGCAGAGGCGGAAUGUGGAGUGAAACCUGAGUGUAGGAGUGAACUGAGGUGUCUGCUCAAAGCUAGAAGAGAUAGCACCCUAAGACACCUAGUGCUGUGGAGUGGUGAACGACUGUCUAUGAGUAGGAAGAUGGAGAGGAGGAUGUGACUGACUCUAAAGCCCACUGGGCUGUACACCUGGAGUAGGUGGCCUAACUAGGUAUGUGCCUAGAAGCUGCACCUAUGGUAGAGUAAUCCCUGUUGCUGCCAUGAGGGUUGCCAUCAGAGCUGUCUGCUGGGUCUAGAACGCUAGCUGCUACUCCUGCAAAGAGAGUAGCUGCCUCUGAAGCUCAUCGUACUUGGCCUGCAUGGCUACAUUGACAGCAGCCCGCUCUCUAUCACGUCGAGCCUGCUCCUCAGCUGCCCUUUGCUGGUCGGCUCUCAUGCCCUCUAGAAUACCAAGCUGGGCUGGGUCAGUAGCAGAAGAGGAACCUCCAGCCUCGUGGUCGUGCUGCCUUGGAGGAAGAUCUGGGAUGGGGAGCUGAUUAUCAUCAUCUGAGCUGUCUGUAGCUAGUGCCUACCAGUGCGCAAUGAAUGUAACUGUGAUAUGGUGCCAUAAUACGAGAAUAAUUGCUUACCAAAUAGGCCAGCGUAAUUUCCUUCAUGCAUGCAAAAAUUUUUAAGUAGCAAAAGAAAGCCGCGCACCCACAUGGAUUAGUGUGGGAAAUCGCUGGAGCAUUCAUGUGCAUGUCGUGCAUGCGUGCCCAUUGACCUGGCUCGGCGAGGCGAGCGAGCAAGCGCAUGUGGUUCUUCCUUUUCCUCUUCCUAAUAGCUUCAACAAGACGGAGAUAGCUCAACUAUUUAAGUUGGCCUUACUCUACUUGAAGUAGUAAGGUGGAACUAAAGUCUCCCACCUUUCCAUAUAUACAUGCAUGUGUGAAUGGGUCUUUGGGAUUUAUUUUGAAUUGUUUAGCCCAUGGCCCAAAACAUCUAAUGAACCCCUACCACAUCCCAAGGGCACGCGAGUCAUACUCUUUGUACCAUAGACUGUUAAUAUACCAGCUAUUCAGUGCAGACCGGUUAAGGUUGAACAUCCACCUAGAACAACAAGAUAGGCCCAUCCGCAACUACACAAUGGACUAGGCCUUGAAUUGACAGUUUGGUGCAAAUAGGCUUCAGUCGAAGUCUUGACUGAUACUAGGCUAUCAUAGCCAACCCCGCGAGUAGAGUUUAUAAGUUAUACUCCUAACUCACUUCAUGAGCUUAUUAAAGAAUACCCAAUUCUUAUAAACUGCGACUAACUGUUGGGCUCACAUAUGUGUGUUUUUACAAGAAUACUCUAUAGGACAAUAUCUUGCUAUAAAGCCUCAGAACACAUUAAGACAAAGUCAACCUGCCUUACAGAAAUGAGAGUACUGCAUCUCCAACGGAGUGGGUCAAAUGAAAACGGUUGUACUCUCCCAUUAACCAACAGCUUGUUCUUCCUAGAUCCUAAUUCACGGGAUCUCCGAUCACAUAGGUUGGGUUACUGCUGAGGUUAACUCACAUGGGUCUCAAUCCCAUCUCCUUCGAUGCACUAUCAAUCAUAGUGCGUGAUAGUCCCUUUGUAAAGGGAUCUGCCAGGUUUUUAGCUAUCUGGAUAUAGUCCACAGCUAUUACUCUAGAGCUCCUUAAUUUCUUGAUAGACUUCAGUUUACACUUUAUAUGUUUGCUGGACUUUUUUCCAUUAUCCUGACUAUUCUUCACCUUCGUGAUCACUAUUUGAUUAUCAUAGUUUAUGAGAAUAGUAGGAAUUGGUUUCUCAACCAAGGCAAGUCCAUCAACGUAUCUCUUAACCACUCAGCCUCAGUAGAGGUUGUAUCCAGAGCUGUAAGCUCUGCCUCCAUUGUGGACUUUGUAAGUAUUGUCUGCUUACAAGAUCUCCAAGCGAUAGCACCACCACCCAAAGUGAAUAUGUAUCCACUGGUGGCCUUAAGCUCAUCAGUUUCUAAAAUCUAGUUUGAAUUACUAUAUCCUUCAAGUACCCCUGGGUACCCUGAAUAGUGAAUUGCAUAACUCAUUUUACCUUUUAGAUAACGCAUUAUUCUAUUAAUACCACGCCAAUGAUCACUUCCUGGAUUAGAGAAAAAUCUACACAACUUGCUUAUAGCAAAUGCUAUAUCAGGGUGGGUUGGGCUAGCUAGGUACAUCAAUGAGCCAAUAAUUUGGAAAUAUCUUAGAUGAUCCUUUCCUAAUCUUUUAUUCUUUUGAAGUAUUAGGCUAGGAUCAUAGGGUGUUGAAGAAGGUUUGCAAUCCAUAUAAUCGAAGAAGUUCAAAACCUUUUCCACAUAAUGAGACUAUAAAAGAGUAAUCCCAUUCUCACUCUUAUUAAGUUUAAUAUUGAGGAUCACAUCGGCUUCUCCUAAAUCUUUCAUGUCACAAUUUUGGGAUAAAAAUGAUUUAACAUCAUUGAUCUCAUCGAUGCUUGUCCCCAAAAUUAGUAUGUCAUCAACAUACAAACACAAGAUUACUCCUUUGUUGUCACAGAACCCAUCAAAUUAUAAGAGUUCAAGUGUAGGAACGAUCGCUAGAGCAAUUAAGUUUCCUUCUUCAUUUUCAUCCACCAAAACAGAGGUUUAAGGUCCUGAUACAUCUUACUACUACCAGGAUGAAUAGAUAGCUUGGAUUUAUGAGCUAAGACUGGGGCUGAUGUCAGUAAGGUUCUUAACUUACGGAAUGUCUCAUAACAAUCUGGCAUCCACAGGAACUUUUCAUCUUUCUAAAGGAAACGAGUCAUAGGCUUGGAUAUUUUGGAAAACUUUAGAAUGAAACGACGAUGAUACCCAGCUAAGCCUAGAAAACUCUGCACCUCAUGCACUAAGGUUGGAACCUUCCAAUCCAACACUUCUUACACCUUGGUCGGAUCAACCGAGAUUCCUUCUUCAAACAAGACAUGGCCCAAGAAAGGUACUUUCUUUAGCCAAAACUCACACUUGCUAAACUUAGCAUAAAGCUGAUGCUCACGCAACUGAGUCAACACCACACGCAAAUGCUCUGCAUGUUCUUCUUCAUUCCGAGAAUAUACUAAGAUAUCAUCAAUGAAGACCACCACGAAUUUGUCUAAUUUGGGCAUGAAGACCGAAUUCAUGAGAUACAUGAAAUGCACUGGUGCAUUGGUCAGACCGAAGGACAUAAUGAGGUACUCAUACAACCCAUACCUUGUUGAGAAAGUCGUCUUGGGUAUAUCUUCAGGACGGAUCUUGAUCUCAUGGUACCCGGGUCGCAAAUCAACCUUAGAGAAUACCUUGGCUUUAGACAACUAAUCAAACAAGAUAUCAAUGCGAGGAAGAGGGUACUUGUUCUUGAUAGUCAUCAUGUUGAGUGGAUGAUAAUCCAAUGCGCAAGGAUUGAUCCUUCUUCACAAAGAUAGCCGGACAACCACAAGGAGAAGAACUAGGAUAAAUAAGACCCUUCUAGAGAUAGGAGCAGUGCCUGGAAGCAAUUUGAUUUUAAACUCCAUGUCCCGGUCUAGAGGAAGCUGUUGACGGUAGAUAAGUAUCAAUUUUAUAUCAACAAGAGAAUGGAAUAACGGUAUGAAAUAAUCACCAAAAGUAGAAUAGGGUUUCAUCUGACAGAUUUCCAUAGGUUUUGGUGAAUGUCUGUUUCUAUAGGGGGUUUUCAGGAAUUGACCCUUAGAGGCCCACAUGUCAUGAUUACAUAGAGAGAAAUGAUAUAUCUACGCCACAUAUACAAAAGAAGGAUCUAGAAGAGUCGGGAAUCUACCAGAACAAAGCAGAACACGAGCGGAGUCUGGGGAGGGCGCCUAGAGGGGGCGGCUACCCUGCCCUCCUGACCAAUCAUGAGCAGUCUUAUGGAUCGAGCUAUAAUCACCUUUGAGGACCAUGGAUCUUCAUCCAUUAAGUCAGUUUGAUCCAAGGGUCACAGUUAAUCCCACCGGCCUAUAUAAGGUGGGGUAGACCCUAGGGUUAGAGGCAUUGAUUAGAAGAGAUAACCAUUCCCCUAGGGUUAGAGGCAUUGAUUAGAAGAGAUAACCAUUCUCAUUGAUAGAAUUCAUUCUCUACCUUCUUCUCUCUAGAGCUCCAAGUUUAGAAGCAUAGCUACAUAGAAUAGAUCUAGUUGGAGGCAAGCAUCGCUUGGUUUCUAGAUUUGUCGAAAAGAUACUCAGUAAUUCUUGUAAUCUUUAUCCUACUUUAUUCUAGUCUGUCAUUAUAUAUAUUAUUUCAUCAUAUUAUGAAUAUGACUUUGCUCUAUUCUAUUAUAUUGGAUAUGACUUUGCUCUACUUGCUUAUAUUCUUAAUUAUAUUGUUCUUAGUCUAUUAUGAUUAUAUGCUUGGCAUAGUUGGUUUAGAUUUAUAUUCAAAUAUAUGUUUGUAUAGCACUCACUCUUUGAUAUCACGGGGUGGUCGACAUUAUGUAGGUGUGGUGCCUAUAUCGUGUUUGCCUUCAUUUGCAUGCUAUAUUUUGGGUCGUGUGGCAGAUCGCGGGGAUGAUAUACCCGUUGAGUCCUCUAUAGUCCACCCUCCAAAUGUAGUUUCUGUAGACACUAAUUACGAGGAGAUGAUUACUUUAUUCCUGAUUUCCCUCGGUAAUGUCCAUAUGUGUAGAUAUAAUCUGCUCUUGCUAUGAUUGCCAAGUAUAAUUGCACUAAUCAUAAUAUGCUAGACUAUAUAGUUGGAAUAACAUAGGAAACAUCUUAGUAGAUCAUUCUAAUUCAUGCUAGUGCUAUAGACUGGAGUUCUCUAGAGAUACAUUUAUCAUUCUAUGUUUGAUUACUAUUCAUUAUAUAUAUUUAUCUUGAUUAUGUGACUUACCCAUACAUUAAGUUAGAUAGAUAAGAUGUGGUUACCCUCAUGAGAUUACAUGCAAGUGAUAUCUAUUCCCUUGGUUAUCAUUCCCGUGGGUAAAAUUAUAAAUACGAUACCUGGAACUUUCCUGGGUGAAAUGCUACAAUGGUAUAAAUCUGUGCGCUUGCGGAUACCUGAUUCCAUAUUCAUCAUUCUAAGAGAGCAUUGCAUAUUUACUACCACUAGCGUAUUUCUUGGGGUCAUGCUGGGGAUGACAACCUAGCCACUGAGGAUAGGGUCUUUACUCUACUCUUAGUAAGUGACGCUAAGAAAUGCCAAUAGAAGCCUAGGCAAGUCAUUAGGAAAGAUAUCUAGAAACUCACACACCAUCGAAAUGUCCUUGAUGGCACUAGAUGUAACUGCAUUCAUCGUGUUGUGGAUGUUAAUAUCGCGAGGAAGUUGCACUAAGAAUGCCUCCUUAGUGCUAGGAUCCCUCAACAUCACCACGCGAGUAGUGGUGUCAAUAAGGACUCCAUUGCCACUCAUCCAUUUCAUUCCCAGAAUCACAUCUAUGCCCACACCAGGAAAAACAACCAAAUCAGCAAGAAACUAACGGUCUCCUAUUUCUAGAGUUGCCCCCAAACCACUUGAUUUGUAGAAAUAUUAUUCCAGGAGGCACUAAUGCAAUAACUGCCUUUAUCUAGGGUGACUGCCUUGAGAUUAUGCUUAGAUACAAAGUCUGAACUCACAAAUGAAUGCAAUGCUCUAGAAUAAAAAGCACAAGUGCAACACAUCAGUUAACUAGAAACUUACCAGCCGUCACCACUUCACCAGCAAGGAUCUCUUCGGCAGGUACGGGCAGUUGCUUUGCUAAUGACUCGUCUGAUUGCAAUUCUAGCAUGGGCGGUUGGCAGGUGGAGCCUUUGCAUUGCUGGGCCUAGUGUUUCCCCUAGGAAGAGCAAUGGAAUACCCCUUACAGAACCUAGUUUUCAUCGGAUUCUUCAUCACCGAAGGUUGGUACUGCAUAUUUGGGGUUGGCGCACGAUACUGGGGCUUCGCUGCCAUUGGAGCCUUGGAAUCGAAUACCUCGGCCUCAAAAGCUCGCUCGCGAGUUUUGGUCGCAGUGUACACAACAUUGUAAUUCUUCUGAGUAAGAGCAUCACAGACAAACUCAUUGAAUGUGGCACAUUUGGUAUUACCCAUAGUCUUCAACAACUUGGGACCAAGACUGGUAAUUUUAUUUACCUUAGUGCUCAUGAACUCAGCUCCAUCUAAUGAAUAGUGUCAGUUAACAACCUUUGUGAAAGGAUCAAGAUGCCCAAGAGGGGGGAGGGGUGAAUUGGGCUUCUCUAAAAAUUUAAAAAACCUAUAAGCUCCAAUUCACCCGCUUGUGCCUAGGUGUGUUCUAGGGAGGUACCAGAUAAAAGUUUUGCAACCUAGUUCCAAUCCUAUUCUAGCAUGGCAAUUAUAGAAAUGUAAAUGCUCAAAGUAAAUGCUAGAAUGCAAAGGAUGAGAGCUAGAAGAAUGUAGCAAUGUUUUGCUGAGGUAUCAGAGAGUCGCCACUCUCCACUAUUCCUCAUUGGAGCACCUGUGCAAGGGCCAUGCUCCCCCUUGGUCCGCUCAAGGACCAAGUGCUCUCUAUGGGCUGAUUCUUUGACACUCUGUCGCGGUGAAUCACCCAAAACCACUCACAAGCUUGACACGAGCCACCCACAAGAACUUUGGGCAGUCUUCGUGCCUCCAAUCACCAUCGAACCAUCUAGAUGAUGGCGAUCACCAAGAGUAACAAGCAAAGAACUCUCACUUAACCCAAACAAGGCUCUAGAGAGUGGUGGAUGCACACUUGAACUCUUGGAACUCAACUAGAGAAGGAUUCACUCAAGAAAUCACUCAAUUCUCAAUCCUCUCUAGGCUCUUGCUUCUCUCUUGCACCACAAGGUGUUACUCAGCUGAUCAAAUGGGAAAGAGACCUACCAUGGACGAGGUGAAGGAGCAUAAAUACCCCCCAUCAAGUCCAAGGGCCGGCCACCCGAAUUCCUCCAAAAACGGGAGCACCAGACGUGCUCUGCAGAGCAUCCGGUGCUCCGUCAAUAGCUAAUUGUACUUGCUCUGCAACACACCAGACGCACCCACAGUGGAUCCGGUGACUCACUUGUAUCGCGUCCGGUGCUAGGGCAAACUUCAACCCUCUCUGGGUACGGGACCGGACGCACCCUAGUGGGUCUGCUGCGUGCGUUCGGUGCUCAGUCAAACUGUAGACCUCCCUGGGUAAGGGACCGGAUGCACCCCGGCGAGUCUGGUGUGUGUGCCCCGUGCCAAACCCUAGGCACCCAGACACGCCGACCCAAAUCAUCACCACCGGACGCGCUCAUAGAGCGUUCGGUGCCUGUUUCAGCAUAAAAACUUCGUCGAAGCGCAAUCUUUCCAAAAUGAAGUUUGUUCCUCUCGAUCUAUGGACUUUCUCAGAGCUACCUAGUGCUAGGUUUACCAAGUGUGCACCACACCUAAACCUAAAGCCUUGCCUAGGUCAAGCUACCCACUCAAUGCCCCCUUAAUAGUAUGGUCAAAGGAAAAACAAAGUCCUAAACUACUCUAGGUGCCCUUCUUCACCAUAUGGCACCUAGACCUAGUCUAGUUUCGAUGAUGUCCAACCAUCCUUUGAAAACCAAAACAAUUUCCACCAUUAUGUCGGCAUGAAUGAUCUAGUCCAUCAAUCACCAUUACCAUGACCUAACAUAAAUGACUUUGCCUCUACAAAACACACGUUAGUCAUAGUAAUCAACAUUGUCAUUAAUCACCAAAACUCAUUAGGGGCCUAGAUGCAUUCAGUCUCCCCCUCUUUGGUGAUUGAUGAUAAUAACCUCGAGUAUGUUUGAAGUGAGGUUUUCAAUUGACUUGGUUUCUAUAAGCAUGUGACAAUAAGAACAAAAAAGAUUAGACAUGCUUAUAUCAACCAUGCCUGAUAUCCUGUAUCCCAGAAUGUAAGAUGUGUGCAACAGGAUACAACAACAUAAGGCUCAUAAGAUAUUGGAGUAAGAACAUAGAAGCAAAACAAUAUGAGCCAAACACAUGACAUAAAGGAUAUGAUCAUAAAGCAUAAGUCAUGUCUCACAACUAUAACAAAAUGUAUCUCACAAAUGCAUAAAGUAAACAUGAUGCAUGAAGAGUAGCAUACAAAAGAACCAAAAGCCCACUCACUGGCUCCCCCAAAAUCUAACAUACUCUCCCUCUCCCCCUUUGGCAUCAAACGCUAAAAACCUAAGAAGCUACAGGUGGAGUUGGAGCAGAGGAGUCACGUGGCACUACCUCAAACUGAGCUGCUGUUGGGUAUUUUAAACGCAUACAGAAAAAUCUGCAAGCGCACGGAUACCCAUGUAACUUUCAUCCGAGAGUAUUCUAGAGUAUGAUUUUCCACAGGGAACGUGAGUGUACUAAUUAAGAUUCAAGAUCGCCCAAGGAUAACUAUAUAAUUAUUUUUGGUGGGAAGAGAGGAAGUUUCCUGAGAGUUCUUUAGUUGAUCUAAGAAUCAAGAAUUACUUCAAAGAUUAUUUAUUUCAGGACAUCAAAACACUAACCACAGAAAGAGAUGAGAUAGGGGGCUAGGAAGCUCUGACUACGGUCCUACAAACACCGAUCUGAACGAGGUGGAAUACGUCGACCGUUAGGGCUGUCACUACCCUAGGGCUACCACAACAAUCCGCAGGAUUGGGUGCAAUUCUAGGUAAUUGCAAGACUAAACACCACGUCUAAUCUAUUAAUUACUACUCUAGCAUUAUAAAGACUAGAGCACUUGAUGCAAGCAGGAAUCCAAUAAAUAACUUGAAUGUAAAUAAAAGUAAUUAAAGAACUCCAAAAUUAUGAAUUAAAGAACUUGGAGAACGAUGAAGAACGAACCAGUUGCUGCAAAAGUACAAUGUUGAGGAAGAUCCGACAGAUCCGGCUCCUCCUCCGCUCCUCUUCUCUCUCCCUAUUUUCUAGAUUACAACUAGAACUAACUAGAACUAGAACUAGAUGAACUAGAACUAGAACUAGAUGAACUAGAGGGAUCCUCUCUACUUGGAUAAAUAAUUGAGACCCUAGCUUUAAUUCUGUAGAAGAGGUAUGUUCGACAGGAGCCAGGGGGCCUGCUUAUAUAGCCCUUCCAAAUGAACGUGAGCCGUUGGAUCAAACCGACCUUAAUCGCACGGUUUUCCUUGAUCCUCAAAGGCGGUGGAGCACGAUCUGUGAGACCUGCCCUGAUUGGUCACCAGGGCAGGGCAGGCGCCCUGCCCCCGGGCCCGCUCGGCCUCCCGUUCGUUCCCGUGGCUUCUGGAGUCUUCUAGAUGAUAAUAAAUUGGCGCACACGUUAAUAUCUCUAUGUAAACCCGACGUGUGGGCCUUUCCUCCAUAUUUCCUAAUAACCCCCUGCAGAAAUAGACAAACACCAAAACUCGUGGAAUUCUGUUAGAUGAAACCCUAAUUUUGGAUGUUGGUUGCAUAUAUGUCCUUUUCCAUGAUUAGUUGACGGUUAAAUGUGAGCAUUAAGGACUGUCAACAAGCUCCCCCAAGCUUAACCUUUGCUUGUCCCUGAGCAAAGCUAAAAUCAGCUAGAAGACAGGGGUUACUUUUAUGCCUCUUACUACAGGGUUUUUAAGUUAUCACUAAGGUCCUAAGUGAUUGAAAAACAUAAUGAUCAAGUCAAGCACUAUGUCUCUAGUUCUUCUAUCUUACCUUUGUUCUGGAGUUUUUUUGUAAGUUUCCAAAAUAAAACUGAGGCAUUUUCCUUCUUCUCGAAAGAUAUAUAAGUAGAGCUUUAAAAGUUUUAGUAUACUUACUUUGCAUUUUGCUAUGUCAAUGCUCGGAGCAAGGGAGAGGAAUGUCAUACUCCUAGAUCAAGACCUUUGACCUUUUUGAAAAGUUUGUCAUCUCUUACUGGCAUAUUGCUUAUUAGAGGGACCAUGGGCUAUCAUUUUUUUUCUUUCUUUUUCAGCCUUUCUCUCUUUUUUUAUGAUGUGGGCACCAAUGUUGACGGUCCUUAAGUACUAAAAUUAACCAUCAAAUAAACAUGGAAAACGAACAAUAUGCACUAAACAUCUAGAAUUAGGGUUUUAUCUGACAGAAUUCAAUGAGCUUUGGUGUUUAACUAUUUCUGCAGGGGGUUAUCAGAAAAUAUGGAGAGAAGGCCCACAUGUCAUGUUUACAACGAGAUAAUUACGUGCCGCGCAAUUUUCCUCAAUCUAGAAGAGUCCAGAAGCCACGGGAACGAACGGGAGACCGGAUGGGCUCGGGGGCAGGGCGCUCGCCCUCCCCCCUUGGGCGCCCGCCCUGGUCUCGGGUCCAAUCCGAACCAAACUCAUGGAUCGUGUUCCACCGACCUAAAGGAUCAAGGAAAACCGUGCGAUCAAUGUCGGUUUGAUCCAAUAGCCCAAAUUCACUUGAAAGGACUAUAUAACCAAGGCCUCUCCACCCCUGGAGGAGAGAAGAGAAGAGGAGAAAUCAUUAUCAGAGGUAGCCAUCAAAGUUAGGGUUUAGAGCUUCUCUCCAACAGAGAAUUAGAAUUAGCUACUUCCUAAUCCUUCAAGUUUAGAGGAUUGAUUAGAUAGCAAUUAGAGAAGUAGAGCACUACGUUGUGGAUUCGGAUCUUCGGUAAUAAAGAUUGGUAUUAUUCAUAUCUUUCUCUAAUACUUUGUUCUAAUUACAUUAUGUCUCUAUUUAUUAUGAUCUUAGUUUGCUCUAGUUCUAUAUUUGAUAUAGUUAUGAUUGAUAAUGAGUUUAUGUAUAAGUUUGCAAAGCGCUUAGCUCUUGACUCGAGGGAGUUAAGUGGUAGAUCACAUGUGGGCGUGGUGCUUAGAUGUUAUUUACCUACAAAUGUAUCCUAUUGGCCGGGUUGUGUGGUAGUUCACGAUAGUGAUAGCUUCGUUGAUUCUUAUAUAGUCCACCCUCCGUCGAUAGGACAGGCAGAAUUUGUAUUGCGGAGUAAGUCUUACGAUGUUCUGAUUUACUUUAGCAAUGUUCCUUAUACAUGAAUGAAGAGUCUUUUAUGCUAUACAUGAUCUUGUAGAUAACUAGAGUAGAUUAUGAAUUAGUAGAUAGUAGAUAACUUAGAAUCCAUUCUCUAGCUAAUCCGACGUCAAAUACAUAUAUGAGGAGUAGUCUAUUUUCUAAUCGCUGUGUUAUUUACCCGUGAACUUAUAAUUCAUUAUCAUUAUCUUUAUGGUUUACCCCCUGCCAAAGUAAGUGACUGUGUGACGAGUUUCUCAUUAGUAAUCAUGUUCUUGCAAGUUUAUCUCUAGUCUAUGCCUUGAUAGAUUUAGUCCUUAUCUUAAUUUCACCCCUUGUUCUCUUAAGCAAAGUUAUAAAUAACGAUGCCUGGAAUACUUAUCCUGGUGAAAUGCUACAAUGAGGUGUUUUAUCUGUGUGCUUGUGGAUAGAAUAGAUUAUUUUCUAGAGAGCCUUUACAUUUAUAAAUACCUUUGUACACUCUGGCACCAUGCUGGGGAUGACAACCUAGUAUCUAAGUGGUGUUAGCUAGUGUCAACAAGCAUUUCUGGCACCGUUGCCGGGGAGGCAAAAGGGUAACACAUAGGAACGGUAAGGAAAGUCAGGAAAUCAGUCAACGUUAUUCACACAAAACAUUAGACUAGACUAUAGAGAAAUAAUUGCAUCAAACAGCUACUAAGUGAGAAAUCAUAACAAGGCACCUCUGCUUUGGCAGGUUCACCCUGUUGUUUUUCUAUGUUUAUAUUUUUAUACAGGGUAUAUCAGGAUUGACUUUGGGUACAUUCAACUCUUCAUCAUCAGAACCAAAGCAAUCAAGAGAAGAAGAAGCUAGCUACCAAUUGCUGAAGCUAUGGCAUAGAAGACCCUACAAGAAUUCUCUGCUCCAAGUCUUGAGAACAUUCCAACUGGUCCAAGAUUUGCAGUAGAAAAAGGAGUACCCGAGUUCGAGCUCAAGUCAAGCCUCAUCAAUUUGGUACAAGCUACACAAUUCAGUGGAAAUGCACAUGAAGAUGCUAGUGCACACUUGCAGAAUUUCUUAGAGAUUGGAAGCACAAUCCACAUCAACAGAGUUGACAACGACGUCAUACUACUUCGCCUUUUUCCAUUCUCACUAGAAGGGAAAGCGAGGAAGUGGUUCUACACUUAUCAAGAUAACAUCAACAACUAGACGAACUUGUCAGAUGCCUUUCUAUCAAAGUUUUUCCCUGUAGGCAAAACAACUGCCUUAAGAGGAAAUAUUGUCAGUUUCCAACAGCGGAAGACAGAAGCCAUUUCAGAAGCAUGGGAGCAUUUUCAAGGAUACAUUUCAGAUUGUCCUCACCAUGGAAUGGCCACAUCGUUACUUAUGCAGGCCUUCUACCAUGGAUUAACCCAGAAGGCUCGUGAGUGCCUAGAUGCAUCUGGUAAAGGAUCAUUCUUGGAGCUUACAAUUGGAAAAGCAAAGAUACUUUUGGAUAAGAUAGUAGAAAAUCAAAGCUGGUUCCAAGAUGAAGCUCAACAAUGUCAUCAAACUGAAGAAAUACCAGAAGAAGUAAAUGCACUGUCAAAGAUGGAAAAUUUGCUCCAUAGGAUUGACCAGAGGGCCAAGUUCAAAGAAGAUCAAAGGGCCAUUGAGAUAGCACACAAAUAUCAAACCACUCCGAGUCAACCCAAUAGCAAAGGUCUGAAUUUACGUAACACUUUCAAGCAACUUUCAUUAAAAGAGAUAAUUGCUCAACAAACUAAAAUUAAUGAUGAAGUUAAACAAAGGCUAGAUACAAAUGAAUCAUCUCUAAAAGAUAUACACAGUAAAAUGGAUUUUCUAUUAACUAUCUUUGAUGAGCAAAACACUCUUAAUAAAAGGGUAGAGCUUAAAUUAAUAAAGUUAGCUGCUGCACUGCCUGUUGCUACUAACAUUGAGCAUGUAAAGAAUAUAACUACUAGAGGAGGCAAAGCCACCAGAGAUACCCCAUACCCAAAAGAGAAACAAAGAACAUCAGCACCAGUGCAACCAGCAGUGAUAGAAGAAGAAAGCCCAGUUGAAGCAGAAAAUCUGCUGCAACCACCAAGAACUGGAGAAAUGAGGAAAGAUUUUUACGACACCAAUUAUUUGCCAUUUCCUAUAAGAAAUAGAGGACUGCAGUCGAAUGAGAAGUUUGGUAAGUUUGUAGAGGUCAUUCAGAAAUUAUAUGUCAACAUACCUCUACUUGAUGCCAUACAGGUACCUAGAUAUGCAAAAUACAUCAGAGAUAUUCUUAACAAGAAGAGACCACUGCCCACCACUGAGGUUAUCAAGCUGACAGAAGAAUGUAGUGCGACCAUGCUCAAUAAACCACCAAAGAAGACGGAAGAUCCAGGAUGCCCCACUAUUGAUUGCUCGAUCGGAAACCAGCACUUCAACAAUGCACUUUGUGAUCUCAGAGUAAGUGUCAGUGUGAUGCCAGCAUCAGUCUACAAAAAGCUUGAGCAUACGACCCUAGAACCAACAUCAAUGUGCCUGCAACUAGUAGAUCAAUCGGUUCGACACCCGUUGGGCAUCGCCGAAAACAUUCCAGUCAAGAUCAGAGAUUUCCUGGUGCCAGCAGACUUCAUGGUACUAGACAUGAGUCCUGACUCAAAAGUGUCCAUCAUCCUUGGAAGGCCAUUAUGAGCACCGCCAAUGCCCACAUUGAUGUCGGGAAAGGAGAAAUCAAGUUCAACAUAAACGGACAAGAAGAACACUUCACAUUCAAGCCCAUACCAGAGAGAGACUCUACAGUGAAGGAAGUUCAUGAUGAAGAACCACUAGAGACACCAUCUCGAGAGGAAGGUAAUUUAGAAGAUUAAAAGAUUUGGAGGUCCAGCUUGGGGGACCUAAAAAUCCCAAACCCUCACCGGAGGUAAAUCGGUAUUUAUCCGCAUCAUUAAUUCUUGCAUAAUUAUUUAGUGCAUUAGUCAUAUUUAUUCAUAGCAUUAUUAUAAUAAUAGAAACCCCCAUAUAAAUAAUAUUUAUGGUGUGUAACAACACAUAUUUUAUUAAUUAUUGUGGAGGCACAAAAAUAUUUUUCAUUAUCAUUUCAAAUAAGUUUCAAUUCUUAUAGAUUUUCCUGCAUUAUAUUUAAUUAUAGCAACCUUCCAGAAGCAUGACCCACACUCCUUGGGUCCUACAUGUCAUACACCACACCUCACACACAUCCCAUCACAUUAUUUGAUCCACCAACAUAUCUCAACUAACUAGCACUUUUCCACCGGCCAACCACCACCCAUGAUCCAUUAUUUUGCGUAAGAGUUAAGCAAAGAAGGGAGUGGAGAAAGGGUAGCCAGGAUGGACACCAAAGGUGGGUGCCCGCCCACCUAUAGAGGGUGCCCGCCCUGCCCCCUCUUCCUCCUAUAAAUUGCCACCUCCUCCCUCCAACUUCUUCACACAAGCAUUCCAGAAAACCACGCAAGUUUCAGUUUCCAUAGAAGGAGCUCUUGUAGUGAAGAAAAAAGAGAGUAGAGAGGAAGAGAAGAGUGGCAAACAAGUUGGUAGUUUUUGAGUGAGAGAGUGAUCAGUUUCACCUAGUAAGUAGUGAUCCCGCUGUCCAAAGCGGAAGUAAAAGUUGUUUAAGGGGAGGUUAUGCCAAAAUAGAAACUUGUCUUGAACGACUAACCCCUGGACUACUGACAUUCCGGACAGCUGACCACUAACAUUUUCUCUCACAUUUUCCACUAGUUGUGUUUUUGCCAACUUUUGUUUAUAGGAUGUUCAAGAAGGUGAAGAACACAGGGAAGGCUCUCAAGAACAUAGGUACAAGGAGUUCAUCACGACAUUCCUCACACCCGUCAUAGAUGAGCGUCCACCCAACACCUACACAAGCUCCGUCAUCUUCAUCUGAUCAGCAAGUCAAGGUCCUUCUCAAGAUAGGAGACCUUGGACUAAAGACCCACAGGGAGAAGGAAGUCUACCAGCAACUAAAGAACAAAGAUUUCAUUCACACACCUACUCUUGAUCCAAUCUUGCUACAAGAAACAGGUAUGGAUACUGAAUUCGACUUAAUUUUCUAGAUGUUAGGUUGGACAAAUUUUUGGAACAUAACUGAGCUGGGUUCUUGUCUUCUCACCCUUGAAUUUCUUUGCACUUUACAAUAUUAUGAGGGGGGAAUUGUUUUCCGGAUGGUCAAACAAGAGAUUAUGUUGUCUUGGAGAGAACUGAGCGACCAGCUUGGUUUCUAUUCAAGAUGCAUCCUAAACAUUGACUCUGACCUACCCAAUUUUGAGAGACAUCAGUUCUGGAGAGAGAUAUCUAGAGACAAUUUUUAUAGUCUAGCCCGAACCAGUGACAUGGAACACCCCACUCUUAGGAUGUUCCACAAAUGGCUUGGGUACAAUCUUUUCUAUCGUGAUGAUAUUAGGAAAGUAAGAGUAGGAGAUUUACAACUUCUAUAUGCUGCUAUUAAUAAAGUACCCACUUCACCUGUUACACUUUUGGUUUCUCAUUGGCUUAGUAUACCUAGUCUUCAGGGACCAGUAGGAUGUACUUCACUUAUCACUCGUCUAGCCUCUAAUAUUCAUUUUCUAGAAAACUCGUCAUUGGACUUCAUAGAUGAGUUAAGAAUUUAUCAUGGCUAUGACACAUUUAGACAAGCUCAGAUGUUAAAGAAAAAGGGGAAUAUAAUGUAUAUGCUAUAUGAUAAUAAAGGCAAGAUUCAGUUACCUAACCAGAACCUUGGCCUCUACGUUGUUCAAAAUUUUUUGAUUGAGAUUGCAGCAACACCAGUGAACUAGAGAGCUCCACAACGAGUGGCAUCUGAAAGGAUGACCACCCAUCAAGAACGCACCUGGUAUGGAGCUGAUCUUGGACCAGAAGAAGCAGCGCACCUGCAUUAUCACGACUACAACCCCCGAGUCCUUCGAGACCCAUGGGUUUGACAUGCGCAACCACAAGAGCCAACACAGGAGACAAGGCUGGAGAGCCAAGAUCACCAGUGGACAAACCCACCUUUUCAUAUGGGCAGGUACUCCACUGAUCCAUAUGGAGCUUCAGGAUCCAGACCUCCGCCCCAAUUUGAUGCAGGACGAUACUCCGACGCCUCCUACGCUUUCACGAAUGACUACUACCAAGAGGCCGGUGCUUUCUUCACCCGUACCGACAACACUCUUCUCGACAUCCAAAAUACGCAAGCAGAACAUGGACGACUCUUGGAACAGCAGCAGAAAUGGAACCAGGAUCAUGCCACUGCAGUACAAGAGCUGAGACAAGAUACCACAACAAUGAAAGAUAACAUCACAACCAUGAUGCGGUUCUGGAAUAUCGGGUAAGACCGACAUCAACAUCCAGCUUGGGGGAGUUCCUCCCCAAUUUAUCAAGUAAGUUUUUAUUAGCCCUUCUUAUUUAUUCUUUCCUAUUUUAAGUGUUUUAUUUAUCUUAUAGAGAAAAACUUAGAAAACCCAAUAAAUAUUUUCUUGCUUUAAUUUACUGCAUUAUAUAAACAUGAAAACAAAAUAAAAAGACUGUGUAGAUGAGUGUGAUUUAUUCUCCCUACUAAGUAUUAAUCUCUAGAAAAAAUAAAAAGACCAAAAAAUACAUGAUGGAAAUGAUGAACAGUUGCUCUGUUUGCUUACUUUCAAGUACCUAGCUUUUAUAUUAGAGUUCUUCCAGGAAUUACUAAAACUGAAAUUACAAUCUAUGGGAAAUAUAAAACUAAAGUCUAGGUAAGAGAAAGGCAUGAUAUAAAGUUUGAGCUGCUGUUUAUCUUGUUCCUACUACACUAAGUUCUGGAGAUUUAUUUUGAAAACUUACAAAUCACAUGAUGAGUUCCUAGCAUUACAAACUACCUACCACAGCCAUACUUGCUAUAACAUCUAUUACUUAUAUUCACAUGAAGUUUGAUCGAGCUGUGUAGACCCUUAGGAGCUUUUCAUGUGGUUAAAUUAAGAUAUUCACUUACACACAUCUACUACACCAUCCACCACCAUUCAUUAAAAUUGCUAAAAAUAUUAUCACUCACUGUCCCAAAUAUUGUUAUUCUCUCUCUCUAAAAAGAUUCAAUGCAGAAGAGGCAUGGGUUAUGCAAAAAUAUGCGAGGAAAUAAAAAGGGGCAAGUGCCCGGAAUAUCGAAAAGAAAGAAAAAGAGUGAGAUGAGAGGUAAAAAUGGACAAGUGUCCGGAGUAGAAUUAGGGGUACAAAGAUGCCCACUUGAGCGGGAAAAAUGGACAAGUGUCCGAUAGUAGAAUUAGGGGUAUCUACUACCCACCUGAAAAAAAAGAGAUAGCCCAUGUUCUCCCAAAGCAAAGAUCAAAGAAGAGGAGAGAUAGCAAUAUGAGGAGCAAUGAGAAGUAAGUUUUAUUAUCACUUAUACAUUUUUUACCAUCACUAUCAUUUACUCCACCACACAUGCACAUCUUGAUUUAAUUAUACGCUGAGUUCCUUUGGAUCCAUGGCUUGAUUAGACAACAUAUGUAUCAGCUGUUUUUCACUCCUAUGAGCUCCACUUAAAUAUUUCAUUAGCUAUAGGUAAGUGACAGUUUGGUAAGGAUCCACAAAUACCACAUAUAGAGAGACUUGAGAGAAUCAUUGCUGGGAACUCUGAGUUUUAUUUUGAAAACUUAUGAAAAACUCUGGAACAAAGGUGAAGUAUAGACAGGAGGAAUAGUGCUUGACUUAAUUAUUUUGUCUUUCGAUUACUUAAGACUCAAGUGCAGGUACUAAGCUCCAUAACACUUCACUCUAAUCUGGAAGAAUUUUUACAUAAAAGCAUGUGUGCCUGUCAGGAAAGAAAACAUCGAAGCAACUCCUGAUCCAUCUGAGUUUAGCUGUUUGCUCAAGGACGAGUAAAGGGUAAGCUUGGGGGAGUUUGUUGACGGUCCUUAAGUACUAAAAUUAACCAUCAAAUAAACAUGGAAAAUGAUCAAUAUGCACCAAACAUCUAGAAUUAGGGUUUUAUCUGACAGAAUUCCACGAGCUUUGGUGUUUAUCUAUUUCUACAGGGGGUUAUCAGAAAAUAUGGAGAGAAGGCCCACAUGUCAUGUUUACAACGAGAUAAUUACGUGCCACGCAAUUUUCCUCAAUCUAGAAGAGUCCAGAUGCCACGGGAACGAACGGGAGACCAGACGGGCUCGGGGGCAGGGCGCCCGCCCUCCCCCCUUGGGCGCCCACCCUGGUCUCAGGUCCAAUCCGAACCAAACUCUUGGAUCAUGUUCCACCGACCUAAGGGAUCAAGGAAAACCAUGCGAUCAAUGUCGGUUUGAUCCAAUGGCCAAAAUUCACUUGAAAGGACUAUAUAACCAAGGCCUCUCCACCCCUGGAGGAGAGAAGAGAAGAGGAGAAAUCAUUAUCAGAGGUAGCCAUCAAAGUUAGGGUUUAGAGCUUCUCUCCCACAGAGAAUUAGAAUUAGCUACUCCCUAAUCCUUCAAGUUUAGAGGAUUGAUUAGAUAGCAAUUAGAGAAGUAGAGCACUACGCUGUGGAUUCGGAUCUUCGGUAAUAAAGAUUGGUAUUAUUCAUAUCUUUCUCUAAUACUUUGUUCUAAUUACAUUAUGUCUCUAUUUAUUAUGGUCUUAGUUUGCUCUAGUUCUAUAUUUGAUAUAGUUAUGAUUGAUAAUGAGUUUAUGUAUAAGUUUGCAAAGCGCUUAGCUCUUGACUCGAGGGAGGUAAGUGGUAGAUCACAUGUGGGCGUGGUGCUUAGAUGUUAUUUACCUACAAAUGUAUCCUAUUGGCCGGGUUGUGUGGUAGUUCGUGAUAGUGAUAGCUUCGUUGAUUCUUAUGUAGUCCACCCUCCGUCGAUAGGACAGGCAGAAUUUGUAUUGCGGAGUAAGUCUUACGAUGUUCUGAUUUACUUUAGCAAUGUUCCUUAUACAUGAAUGAAGAGUCUUUUAUGCUAUACAUGAUCUUGUAGAUAACUAGAGUAGACUAUGACUUAGUAGAUAGUAGAUAACUUAGAAUCCAUUCUCUAGCUAAUCCGACGUCACCUACAUAUAUGAGGAGUAGUCUAUUUUCUAAUCGCUGUGUUAUUUACCCAUGAACUUAUAAUUCAUUAUCAUUAUCUUUAUGGUUUACCCCCUGCCAAAGUAAGUGACUGUGUGACGAGUUUCUCAUUAGUAAUCAUGUUCUUGCAAGUUUAUCUCUAGUCUAUGCCUUGAUAGAUUUAGUCCUUAUCUUAAUUUCACCCCUUGUUCUCUUAAGCAAAAUUAUAAAUAACGAUACCUGGAAUACUUAUCCUGGUGAAAUGCUACAAUGAGGUGUUUUAUCUGUGCACUUGCGGAUAGAAUAGAUUAUUUUCUAGAGAGCCUUUACAUUUAUAAAUACCUUUGUACACUCUGGCACCAUGCUGGGGAUGACAACCUAGUAUCUAAGUGGUGUUAGCUAGUGUCAACAGUCUGCUUACAAGAUCUCCAAGCGAUAGCACCACCACCCAAAGUGAAUAUGUAUCCACUAGUGGCCUUAAGCUCAUGAGGUUUUGAAAUCUAGUUUGAAUUACUAUAUCAGGGUGGGUUGGGCUAGCUAGGUACAUCAAUGAGCCAAUAGUUUGGGAAUAUCUUAGAUGAUCCUUUCCUAAUCUUUUAUUCUUUUGAAGUAUUAGGCUAGGAUCAUAGGGUGUUGGAGAAGGUUUGCAAUCCAUAUAAUCAAAGCAGUUCGAAACCUUUUCCACAUAAUGAGACUAUAAAAGAGUAAUCCCAUUCUCACUCUUAUUAAGUUUAAUAUUGAGGAUCACAUCGGCUUCUCCUAAAUCUUUCAUGUCACAAUUUUGGGAUAAAAAUGAUUUAACAUCAUUGAUCUCAUCGAUGCUUGUCCCCAAAAUUAGUAUGUCAUCAACAUACAAACACAAGAUUACUCCUUUGUUGUCACAGAACCCAUCAAAUUAUAAGAGUUCAAGUGUAGGAACGAUCGCUAGAGCAAUUAAGUUUCCAAACUUGAGCCCAUAUAAUCUCGGUAGUCAAUUGAAUUCUCGAAGGAUUUCAAACCAACUGAGCAACAUACCAAGAUCGUAAUAAGUUCAGCACAAUACAUCGAUUGUUACAACAUUACAUACAAGGUCGAUGAAGUGACAUACAUCAAAGUUUACUUAAGUUAUUACAAACUAAGUUCAAAGUAGCGUAAGCAACAUAGUUUUGAAACCAACAUCACAAGUUCAUUGUUACUAUCAGAGUCUCAUCACAUCCACCAAAAGAUAGUUAGGUACGAUGAUUAGAGAACUGUGCCCAACGGUUAGUCCUCAUCCUGAGCGGGGUAAAGACAGGUCUUGUAGAAACCAUCAUAGAAUAUAUCAUCUACAACAAGUGGGAAUAAACCCUGAGUACGAGGUUGUACUCAGCUAGACUUACCUGACGAACCAAAACAAGGACACCAAGGAUCAUGCAAGGCUACUAAAAGAGUGGAGCUGGCUUGACUCAUUUUGCAUAAAAAGCUUAAGUUAGAGAACUAAACCUUUCUUAUUAGCCUCAAGUUAAUUAUCAUUAACCUGCCACUAUAUUAGCACGUGUACUAUAGCACUCACUUGAUUAAUCAUCAAACAAAUAAGCAUCAAACAAAUAAGCUUUUACAUGAGAACAGUUGUCGCAACGAGCGACAAAAGCAGAAAUUUCCUUCUUCAUUUUCAUCCACCAAAAUAGAGGUUUAAGGUCCUGAUACAUCUUACUACUACCAGGAUGAAUAGAUAGCUUGGAUUUAUGAGCUUGAGACAGAAUCUGAUUCCGAAGCUCUCAAUUCUUAGGUACCACAAGCCUAUCUUUAAACCACAAAAUUCCAUUCUCAUCAACCUAGAAAUGCUUGGUUUCUUCCUCUUUCAUCUUUUUUUUAUGUGGUGGAUACCCACAUCAGUCUGCUGCAACUCAAUCACCCGAUUACAAAGAGAACUCUCUAGGGCAAUGUGGUGAAGCACCACUGGAUACAUAAGGUGUGACAAGGAAGGAUCCUCAAUCCUUACUGAAUUGCAAUGCGACUUCCAACUCAAGGCAUGGUAGUGCACUUGAAGAUUAUAAUCUUUAAUCAACUCAAGCCAUCUUCGCUGUCACAUGUUCAACUCUGGUUGAGUAAAGAUGUACUUGAGGCUUUUAUGAUCGGUGUAGAUGUUACACAAAUUACCUAAUAGAUAGUGCCUCCACAUCUUCAAAGCAUAAACUACUGCUGCCAAUUCUAAAACAUGAGUGGAUAAUUGACCUCAUGCUUUUGAAGUUGGUGAGACGCAUAAGCGAUGAAUCUUCCUUCUUACAUAAGCACACAGCCCAGAUCGAUACCGGAUGCAUAACAAAAGACAUCAAACGACUUCUCGAUAUCGGGUUGAGCUAAGACUGGGGCUAAUGUCAGUAAGGUUCUCAACUUAUGGAAUGUCUCAUAACACUCUGGCAUCCACAGGAACUUUUCAUCUUUCUGAAGCAAACAAGUCAUAGGCUUGGAUAUUUUGGAAAACUUUAGAAUGAAACGACGAUAAUACCCAGCUAAGCCUAGAAAACUCCGCAUCACGUGCACUAAGGUUGGAACCUUCCAAUCCAACACUUCUUACACCUUGGUCGGACCAACCGAGAUUCCUUCUUCAAACAAGACAUGGCCCAAGAAAGGUACUUUCUUUAGCCAGAACUCACACUUGCUAAACUUAGCAUAAAGCUGAUGCUCACGCAACCGAGUCAACACCACAUGCAAAUGCUCUGCAUGUCUUCUUCAUUCCGAGAAUAUACCAAGAUAUCAUCAAUGAAGACCAACACGAAUUUGUCUAAUUUGGGCAUGAAGACCGAAUUCAUGAGAUACAUGAAAUGCACCGGUGCAUUGGUCAGACCGAAGGACAUAAUGAGGUACUCAUACAACCCAUACCUUGUUGAGAAAGCCGUCUUGGGUAUAUCUUCAGGACGGAUCUUGAUCUCAUGGUACCCGGAUCGCAAAUCAAUCUUAGAGAAUACCUUGGCUUUAGACAACGGAUCAAACAAGAUAUCAAUGCAAGGAAGAGGGUACUUGUUCUUGAUAGUCAUCAUGUUGAGUGGAUGAUAAUCCAAUGCGCAAGGAUUGAUCCUUCUUCUUCACAAAGAUAGCCGGACAACCCCAAGAAGAAAAACUAUGAUAAAUAAGACCCUUCUAGAGAUAGGAGCAGUGCCUGGAAGCAAUUUGAUUUUAAACUCCAUGUCUCGGUCUAGAGGAAGUUGUUGACAGUAGAUAAGUAUCAAUUUUAUAUCAACAAGAGAAUGGAAUAAGGGCAUGAAAUAAUCACCAACUGUAGAAUAGGGUUUCAUCUGACAGAUUUCCAUAGGUUUUGGUGAAUGUCUGUUUCUAUAGGGGGGUUAUCAGGAAUUGACCCUUAGAGGCCCACAUGUCAUGAUUACAUAGAGAGAAACAAGAUAUCUACGCCACAUAUACAAAAGAAGGAUCUAGAAGAGUCGGGAAUCUACCAGAACAAAGCAGAACACGAGCGGAGUCUGGGGAGGGCGCCUAGAGGGGGCGGCUACCCUGCCCUCCUGACUAAUCAGGAGCAGUCUUAUGGAUCGAGCUAUAAUCACCUUUGAGGAGCAUGGAUCUUCAUCCAUUAAGUCAGUUUGAUCCAAGGGUCACGGUUAAUCCCACCGGCCUAUAUAAGGUGGGGUAGACCCUAGGGUUAGAGGCAUUGAUUAGAAGAGAUAACCAUUCCCCUAGGGUUAGAGGCAUUGAUUAGAAGAGAUAACCAUUCUCAUUGAUAGAAUUCAUUCUCUACCUUCUUCUCUCUAGAGCUCCAAGUUUAGAAGCAUAGCUAUAUAGAAUAGAUCUAGUUAGAGGCAAGCAUCGCUUGGUUUCUAGAUCUGUCGAAAAGAUACUCAGUAAUUCUUGUAAUCUUUAUCCUACAUUAUUCUAGUCCAUCAUUAUAUAUAUUAUUUCAUCAUAUUAUGAAUAUGACUUUGCUCUAUUCUAUUAUAUUGGAUAUGACUUUGCUCUACUUGCUUAUAUUCUUAAUUAUAUUGUUCUUAGUCUAUUAUGAUUAUAUGCUUGGCAUAGUUGGUUUAGAUUUAUAUUCAAAUAUAUGUUUGUAUAGCGCUCAGUUUUGAUAUCACGGGGGUGGUCAACAUUAUGUAGGUGUGGUGCCUAUAUCGUGUUUGCCUGCAUUUGCAUGCUAUAUUUCGGGUCGUGUGGUAGAUCGUGGGGAUGUUAUACCCGUUGAGUCCUCUAUAGUCCACCGUCCGAAUGUAGUUUCUGUAGACACUAAUUACGAGGAGACGAUUGCUUUAUUCCUGAUUUUCCUUGGUAAUGUCCAUAUGUGUAGAUAUAAUCUGCUCUUGCUAUGAUUGCCACGUAUAAUUGCACUAAUCAUAAUAUGCUAGACUAUAUAGUUGGAAUAACAUAGGAAACAUCUUAGUAGAUCAUUCUAAUUCAUGCUAGUUCUAUAGACUGAAGUACUCUAGAUAUACAUUUAUCAUUCUAUGUUUGAUUACUAUUCAUUAUAUAUAUUUAUCUUGACUAUGUGACUUACCCCUGCAUUAAGUUAGAUAGAUAAGAUGUGGUUACCCUCAUGAGAUUACAUGCUAGUGAUAUCUAUUCCCUUGGUUAUCAUUCCUCUGGGUAAAAUUAUAAAUACGAUACCUGGAACUUUCCUGGGUGAAAUGCUACAAUGGUAUACAUCUGUGCGCUUGCGGAUACCUGAUUCUAUAUUUAUCAUUCUAAGAGAGCAUUGCAUAUUUACUACCACUAGCGUAUUUCUUGGGGUCAUGCUGGGGAUGACAACCUAGCCACUGAGGAUAGGGUCUUUACUCUACUCUUAGUAAGUGACGCUAAGAAAUGCCAAUAGAAGCCUGGGCAAGUCAUCAGGAAAGAUAUCCGGAAACUCACACACCACCGAAAUGUCCUUGAUGGCAAUAGAUGUAACUGCAUUCAUCGUGUUGUGGAUGUUAAUAUCGUGAGGAAGUUGCACUAAGAAUGCCUCCUUAGUGCUAGGAUCCCUCGACAUUACCACUCAUCCAUUUCAUUCCCAGAAUCACAUCUAUGCCCACACUAGGCAAAACAACCAAAUCAGCAAGAAACUAACGGUCUCCUAUUUCUAGAGUUGCCCCCAAACCACUUGAUUUGUAGAAAUAUUGUUCCAGGAGGCACUAAUGCAAUAACUGCCUUUAUCAAGGGUGACUGCCUUGAGAUUAUGCUUAGAUACAAAGUCUGAACUCACAAAUGAAUGCGAUGCUCUAGAAUAAAAAGCACAAGUGCAACACAUCAGUUAACUAGAAACAUACCAGCCGUCACCACUUCACCAGCAAGGAUCUCUUCGGCGGGUAUGGGCAGUUGCUUUGCUAAAGACCCGUCUGAUUGCAAUUCUAGCACGGUCGGUUGGCAGGUGGAGCCUUGGCAUUGCUGGGCCUAGUGUCUCCCCUUGGAAGAGCAAUGGAAUACCCCUUACGGAACCUAGUUUUCAUCGGAUUCUUCAUCACCGGAGGUUGGUACCGCAUAUUUGGGGUUGGCGCAUGAUACUAGGGCUUCGCUACCACUAGAGCCUUGGACUCGGAUGCCUCAUCCUCAAAAGCACACUCACGAGUUUUGGUCGCAGUGUACACAAUAUUGUAAUUCUUUUGAGUAAGAGCAUCAUAGACAAACUCAUUGAAUGUGGCACAUUUGGUAUGACCCAUAGUCUUCAACAACUUGGGACCAAGACCUCUCUUGAAACUAGUAAUUUUCUUUACCUUAGUGCUCACGAACUCAGGUACCUGGACAAAUGAUUGAAAGCAUGCAAGUACUCCUUCAAGGUUUUGUUAUCCUGGGUUAGUUGCAUAAACUCAGUAUGCUUCACCAUGAGCCCCAAGGGUAUAAAGUGCCCCUUGAAUGCCUCAUGGAAUAGAUUCUAGUCAACCACUGUAUUCUCUGGGAGGGCAUUCCUAUAAUGAUUCCACCAGAUACCAGCGGGACCUUGCAGUUGAUGAGCUGCAUACUCAGCCUUCAGACUGUCGGUCAACCUGAGCAAGCGGAACUUCUGCUCCCCCAUGUUCAGCCAUUCCUCAGCCUGAAUGGGUUCCUCAGCCUCCUUGAAAGGUGGGGGCUUGGUCCAUGAAGUCCUUGAAGCUGCUGUAUUGGUUUGGUGUCGGUCCAUGUUGUACAUCUCGGCCCCCUUGAUUUGCCAUCUAAUGAAUAGAGUCAGUUAACAAUAUUUGUGAAAGGAUUAAGAUGCCCAAGAGGGGGGGCGUGAAUUGGGCUUCUCUAAAAAUUUAAGCAACCUAUAAGCUCCAAUUCACCCGCUUGUGCCUAGGUGUGUUCUAGGGAGGUACCAGAUAAAAGUUUUGCAACCUAGUUCCAAUCCUAUUCUAGCAUGGCAAUUAUAGAAAUGUAAAUGCACAAAGUAAAUGCUAAAAUGUAAAGGAUGAGAGCUAGAAGAAUGCAGCAAUGUUUUGCCGAGGUAUCAGAGAGUCGCCACUCUCCACUAUUCCUCAUUGGAGCACCUGUGCAAGGGCGUUGCUCCCCCUUGGUCCGCUCAAGGACCAAGUUCUCUCUAUGGGCUGAUUCUUCGACACUCCGUCGUGGUGAAUCACCCAAAACCACUCAGAAGCUUGACACGAGCCACCCACAAGAACUUUGGGCAGUCUUCGUGCCUCCAAUCACCACCGAACCAUCUAGGUGAUGGCGAUCACCAAGAGUAACAAGCAAAGAACUCUCACUUAACCCAAACAAGGCUCUAGAGAGUGAUGGAUGCACACUUGAACUCUUGGAUCUCAACUAGAGAAGGAUUCACUCAAGAAAUCGCUCAAUUCUCAAUCCUCUCUAGGCUCUUGCUUCUCUUUUGCACCACAAGAUGUUACUCAGCUGAUCAAAUGGGCAAGAGACCUCCCAUGGACGAGGUGAAGGAGUAUAAAUACCCCCCAUCAAGUCCAAGGGUCGGCCACCCAAAUUCCUCCAAAAAUGGGAGCACCGGACGCGCUCCGCAGAGCGUCCGGUGCUCCAUCAAUAGCUAAUUGUACUUGCUCUGCAACACACUAGGUGCACCCACAGUGGAUUUGGUGACUCACUUGGAUCGCGUCCGGUGCUAGGGCAAACUUCAACCCUCUCUGGGUACGGGACCGGACGCACCCUAGUGGGUCUGCUGCGUGCGUCCGGUGCUCGGUCAAACUGUAGACCUCCCUGGGUAAGGGACCAGACGCACCCCAGCGAGUCCGGUGUGUGCGCUCCGUGCCUAAUCCUAGGCACCCAGGCACGCCGACCCAAGUCAGCACCACCGGACGUGCUCAUAGAGCGUUCGGUGCCUGUUUCGGCAUAAAAACUUCGUCGAAACGCAAUAUUUCCAAAAUGAAAUUUGUUCCUCUCGAUCUAAGGACUUUCUCGGAGCUACCUAGUGCUAGGUUUAACAAGUAUGCACCACACCUAAACCUAAAGCCUUGCCUAGGUCAAGCUACCCACUCAAUGCCCCCUUAAUAGUAUGGUCAAAGGAAAAACAAAGUCCUAAACUACUCUAGGUGCCCUUCUUCACCAUAUGGCACCAAGACCUAGUCUAGUUUCGAUGAUGUCCAACCAUCCUUUGAAAACCAAAACAAUUUCCACAAUUAAGUCGGCAUGAAUUAUCUAGUCCAUCAAUCACCAUUACCAUGACCUAACAUAAAUGACUUUGCCUCUACAAAACACAUGUUAGUCAUAGUAAUCAAUAUAGUCAUUAAUCACCAAAACUCAUUAGGGGCCUAGAUGCUUUCAGUCUCCCCCUCUUUGGUGAUUGAUGAUAAUAACCUCAAGUAUGUUUGAAGUGAGGUUUUUAAUUAACUUGGUUUCUAUAAGCAUGUGACAAUAAGAACAAAAAAGAUUAGACAUGCUUAUAUCAACCAAGCGUGAUAUCCUGUGUCCCAAAAUGUAAGAUGUGUGCAACAAGAUACAACAACAUAAGGCUCAUAAGAUAUUGGAGUAAGAACAUAGAAGCAAAACAAUAUGAGCCAAACACAUGACAUAAAGGAUAUUAUCAUAAAGCAUAAGUCAGGUCUCACAACUAUAACAAAAAGUAUCUCACAAAUGCAUUGUUGGGUAUUUUAAACACAAACAGAAAAAUCUACAAGUGCACGGAUACCGAUGUAGCAUUCACCCGGGAGUAUUCCAGAGUAUCGAUUUUCCACAGGGAACGUGAGUGUAAUAAUUAAGAUUCAAGAUCGCACAAGGAUAACUAUAUAAUUAUUUUUGGUGGGAAGAGAGGAACUUUCCUGAGAGUUCUCUAGUUGAUCUAAUAAUCAAGAAGUACUUCAAAGAUUAUUUAUUUCGGGACAUCAGAACACUAACCACAGAAAGGGGUGAGAAGGGGGCUAGGAAGCUCUGACUACGGUCCUACAAACACCGAUCCGAACGAGGUGGGAUACGUCGACCGUUAGGGCUGUCACUACCCUAGGGCUACCACAACAAUCCGCUGGAUUGGGUGCAAUUCUAGGUAAUUGCAAGACUAAACACCACGUCUAAUCUAUUAAUUACUACUCUAAUGUUGCAAAGAUUAGAGCACUUGAUGCAAGCGGGAAUCCAAUAAAUAACUUGAAUGUAAAUAAAAGUAAUUAAAGAACUCAGGAAUUAUGAAUUGAAGAACCUAGAGAACGAUGAAGAACGAACCAGUUGCUGCAAAAGUAUAAUGUUGAGGAAGAUCCGACAGAUCCGGCUCCUCCUCCUCCGCUCUCCUCUUCUCUCUCCUUAUUUUCUAGAUUACAACUAGAACUAACAAGAACUAGAACUAGAGGAACUAGAACUAGAACUAGAUGAACUAGAGGGAUCCUCCCUACUUAGAUGAAGAAUUGAAACCCUAGCUUUGAUUCUAUAGAAGAGGUAUGAUCUCCAGGGGCCAGGGGGCCUUGCUUAUAUAGUCUUUUCAGAUGAAUCUGGGUCGUCGGAUCAAACCGACAUUAAUCGCAUGGUUUUCCUUGAUCCUUUAGGUCGAUGGAGCAUGAUCCACGAAACGUGUCCUGAUUGGACUCUCGAAGUGGGCGGACGCCAAGGAGAGUUGGGUGGGCGCCCUGCCUCCAAGCCCGAUUGCCUUCCCGUUCGCUCCCGUGGCUUCUGGAGUCUUCUAGAUGGUAGAAAAUUGCGCGUCACGUUAAUAUCUCUAUGUAAUCCUGACAUGUGGACCUUUCUUCCAUAUUUCCUGAUAACCCCCAGCAGAAAUAGACAAACACCAAAACUCGUGGAAUUCUGUCAGAUAAAACCCUAAGUCUAGGUGUUGGUUGCAUUUGGAUCCUUUUCUAUGAUUAGUUGACAGUUAAAUGUGAGCAUUAAGGACCGUCAACAAGCUCCCCCAUGCUUAACCUUUGCUCGUCCCUGAGCAAAGCUAAAAUCAGCAAGAAAACAGGGGUUACUUUUAUGCCUCUUACUACAGGGUUUUUAUGUUAUCACUAUGGUCUUAAGUGAUUGAAAAACAGAACGAUGAAGUCAAGCACUAUGUCUCAAGUUCUUUUGUCUUACCUUUGUUCUGGAGUUGUUUGUAAGUUUCCAAAAUAAAACUGAGGAAUUUGGCUUCUUCUCGAAAGAUAUAUAAGUAGAGCUUUAAAAGUUUUAGCAUACUUACUUUGCAUUUUGCUAUGUCAAUGCUCGGAGCAAGGGAGAGGAAUGUCAUACUCCUAGAUCAAGACCUUUGAUCUUUUUGAAAAGAUUGUCAUCUCUUAUUGGCAUAUUGCUUAUUUAGAGGGACCAUGGGCUAUCAUUUUUUUUCUUUCUUUUUUCAGUCUCUCUUUUCUUUUUUUUCCAAGUGGGUACCAAGUACCCCUAAUUCUACUAUCGGACACGUGUCCAUUGUUUCUCACUCAGAUGGGUAUCUUUGUACCCCUAUUUCUACUUCGGACACUUGUCCAUUUUUACCUCUCGUCUCACUCUUUUUUUUGAAUCAAAUUUUUGCACAGUCCCAUGCCUCUAACGCAAUAAUACUUCGGAAGAGUGAAUCUUUUAUAUUUUAAACAAAAAGAUCUUGAUCUUUAGAGCAUGAUAAUUCUCUCAACCAAAACUACAAGAAUUAACAAUGGCUUGAACAAAGCAAGUGCCCACAAUUUUAAUAUUUAUAUCUUAUAAGACUCUAAGUAUUAUGUGAAACAGGAUCUCAUUAUUUUUUUCUUUGAAUUUUUAGAUUUUCAAAAGAUAAAAUCUCCAGAACUCUAGCAAAACUUGGAACAAGUUAAAUAGUAGCUCAGACCUUCUCAUAUCAUGUUUGUCAAUUACCUAGACUUGGAUCAAACUUUCUUUUUAUUUUAUUUAAAACUUAGGAUUACACAAAACUAUUGUAUAUCUCAAAAGAAAAACUUUGUUUGGUUUCAUGGUUAUGCAUUUUUUUAUUUCCGAAUACUAGUAAAUACAACCAAGAAAGAAAAGUAAUACUUAUCUAGAUACACGUGGGGGUGCCUAGCCCAAGCUGGAUGUUGACAUAGUCGUUCACUCUUGUGGCCUGCAUGUUCGGUCUCACUCUUCUUAAGCUUCAAAAUCCUACACAACCCAAAUAGACAACAAAACUCGUGGAGCAUGUUAAGGGUUAGGUAAUUGUCUAGAGCUUAUGAGAGCUUAAUAUGAGAAUUCUAUGAACUCAAUCACAAUAAGUUCCUCUACCAGGUUGUUUUGUGGCUCGAGAUAGAUUUUCAAGGGUUGUCCAUUUACCUUAAAAGUGUUACCUAUGUCGUUUUGGAUGGUAAUGGCUCCAUGAGUUGAAGUGUCCAUAACCUUGUAUGGUCCAUCCCACUUACUUCGUAGCUUAGCAUGCCCAAAGAGCUUAACUCUUGAAUUGAAUAGUAGAACCUUAUCUCCAGGCUUAAACUCCUUGUGCUUGAUUCUCUUAUCAUGCCAUCGUUUUGUUCUCUCUUUAUAGAUCCUUGAAUUGUGGUAGGCUUUCUCUCUCCAUUCUUCUAGCUCAGAUAGCUGCAUCAGACGAUUCUUGCUAGUGAGGUGGAGAUCCAUGUUCCAUUUCUUGAGUGCCCAAUGAGCUUUAAACUCUACUUCCACAGGAAAAUGACAAGUUUUUCCAUAUAGAAGUUGAUAAGGUGACAUGCCUAUGGGUGUUUUGAAUGCAGUUCUGUAUGCCCAAAGUGCAUCAGGAUGUUUGUCCAUCCACCCCUUACCCAUCUCAUCUAUGGUCUUUUGUAAAAUAUUUUUGAUUUGUUUGUUAGAUGUUUCGGCUUGACCGCUAGUCUGAGGAUGGUAUGGUGUUGCGACGUUGUGUCGAACUCCAUGAUCGGCUAGGUACUUCCGAAAGAUUUUGUUGAUGAAGUCGGAACCUCCAUCGCUUAUUACUAUCCGGGGUAUACCAAAGCGAGGAAAGAUUACUUCAUGGAACAUUCUCUUGGCAUGCUUUGAAUCAGCUGAUCGACAAGGUAGGGCUUCUACCCAUUUGGACACGUAGUCCACAGCUACUAAGAUAUACUCGCAAUUCCCGGAAAUAGGGAAUGGCCCCUUGAAAACAAUGCCCCAUACAUCGAAAAGUUCUACUUGAAGAUUAUUUGUGAGAGGCAUUUCAUUUCGUGAGUUGAUAUUCCCAUGUUUUUUCAUCGGUGGCAUCUCCUGACAAAGUCCUUUGUAUCUUCAUACACCGUUGGCCAGAAAAAGCCACUUUGCCAAAUUUUAGCAUGUGUCCG
rnacentral:lncRNA from 1 species